CGAAAUCAUGAUCACGUACCUUGAAAUAAAAUUUGAAAUAGAAAUACAAGAGAAGCACACAACCUAAUCAAAUUGCGUUCUUUAACAUAGAAACCCUGCUCAAGGAGAUGAUAAAACUAACAUAACCGUUGUCGGACUUGAAGGUUGGAAAAAUUGCUCCCACUUGAGCAGCAGGAGAUCAUCUUAUCUGGGUAGGAGAACAGAGCAAACCAGAUGCAUCUGAUCCAACCACUGAAAGAUCACAAAAGAACAGAGCUUCCCUUCCUGGUCCGGAACAAACCGAGAACUGCAGUAUGGGCAUGACACAUCCUUCUGUCCACGGUAAAUAGGCAAGUAUGUUGCCCCACAAACGACAAAUGGGUUUCUGAAAUCAUAGUUUAGCUGGGUUGCAUCAGUCAUGUUCUUUUCGGCAGCUUGCAGGAUUUGUCUUGCAGUCUUUGCAUGGUUUUCAAUGGUGGGGUUGGUUUCCAAAAGUCGCCUGGCAAAGUUAGCUGCCGUGUUGAGAUUACCAGCCUUAUAGCAAACACUCAUGGCAUUUAGUAAUGCAAGUCUCAAGUGAGGCAUCUGAAGGUUGCAGUGGGUGAAGUAAGCAGCUAGCUCCUGUUGGCGAACCGGAUCGCCUUUAAGUUCCUUCCUCUUAAUCUCCAUCUUCAAACCUAGAACAUACUCCUUUACAAUGAUAAUUAAUUCUUUUACUUCAUCAACCUCUCUCUUUGAAUCAACUACGAUCAGAGGAAUAGUAUACAGAAUACCAAGGAGAAGACGUAAAGCAUCAGCAAAUUUCCCUUGCGUUGUGGCCUUGUAACCCGCCUUAAGCUUCUCUUCUAGCUCUGAGAAUUUAAAUACAAGAGCAGGAGGACCCCUAACUUUAGGUGUAGCUGAUUCACUCCAUCCCCUCUCAAUGGCCACGGUGAGCACAUGAGCUGCCGAGAAGGCAUGUAGAUACAUAUGACUGCCCAUGUGUAAAUCGAGAAAUAAUUGUCUCAAGGGAUCAAAGUUCUUUACACCCAGCUCCCUGCUCAACAAACGCAUUGCAAUAUCGAAAUUCCCAGCAGUAGCAUGUUCAGCAACAAGAGAUGAUUUCUGGGACCAGGUUUGGCUUACAGGCAUACCUGGAGUUGGGGCAACAAACACAGAAGAACGGGCAUUGCUGGCAGUUUUUGGAGUAUCAAUCUCAGGUGGAAGUUCAAGAUCGCAUCCAGCACUGCACUGAUGUCUCCAUUUGGAAUAUUGUCCACGUCAACAAGAUCCAACUCCUCUCCCCAAUCAGCAUCUGCAGCCUCUUCAUAAUCUUCCUCAAUAUUCUUGCCCACAUUAUCAAGACCACCCUCAAAUAUUCCUCUCAUGACCCUCAACAAGGGCCAAUCUCCUCCGCAGAUGAUUGGCAUUGGUGGUAACAAAAGAGACGGAGAUUUCACCUUGGGUAAAACAGGAACAUUAUCUCCCAGUUCAGCCGCCAAACGUUCGGCAAUAUCAUGGAGCCCAUGAAUUUGCAUUACCCUGACGAAGGGCCUCCACUCCCAAUCGAUACCAGUGAUCUUUCUCAUCAAUUUCCUUGGCAGAAGCAACAGCAAUCUGGAUGUUCCCGCUCCCUAGUGCCAAGUUGAAGCGAGUCCUCUCAUCCUUCACAAAAUGAAGGGCAACCUCAGGGAAACCUUUCUGCUGUAGAUAUGCAAUCAUGGCCUGGCCACAGAGCUCAGAACUCCUUAUCAUGCUCAUAACCUGGUCAUACCUCUUCUUCAGUAAGGAUAACUUGAAAACAUAUUCUGUUGCAUCAACAACAAUGGCACAGUUCUUCCCAUCUCGAUCCAAGCAAUGUAUGGUGUUUCCAUACACUUUUGUUAUAUAUACGGGAACGUCGAGGGUCCUGAUGAUUCCACUAUCCCCAUUAGGAAGGCAGUAUUUGAUGUGGUUCAAGGUUGUAUAUAUGAAGACGCCAUUGUCAUCCCAAGCUCCACUCUUUACACUAAUGCACUAGCUUCUUAUUUGCUAUCACAAUUGAAUGUUUGCUCGGUAAAGCAAUGCUCUCCAUGUCAUUUGACCAAACAAUAUACCUUACGAAAGGAGUUUGAAGCUCCCCAACAAUAGUUCUCUGCUGCAGGUCAAAAAUAAUGACUCUGUCCUCUGCCCUGCACAGCAAGUUUCCAGUUCCAGCAUAAAAUAUUGUUGUGCGGAAGCAUCAAAUAUGAAACCAAUAAGCUACAACAGCAAAAUAUGACAAGACAAGCAAUCCAAAUGACACAAGGAUUUAUACUGGUUCGGCAUAAGCCUACGUCCAGUUUCGAGACGGCGAGGAAAUUCCACUAAUAUCAAAAUGGAAAUUACAAAUUGAGUUUUAACUCUAUUUGUAAUCUCCUUUUGAUAUUAGUGGAAUUUCUCCGCCGUCUCGGAACUGGACGUAGGUUUACGCCGAACCAGUAUAAAUCCUUGUGUCAUUUGGAUUAUUUGUCUUAUCAUAUUUUGCCGUUGUAGUUUAUUGGUUUCAUAUUUGACGCUUCCGCACAACAAGUGGUAUCAGAGCUCUGGGUUUCGACUUGGGGCUUUGUACUAAUAUGUCUAUGAAACCUUCGAAUAUGUCGGUGAAAUAUGAUAUUGAAAAAUUCAAUGGGAGAAAUGAUUUUAGCCUGUGGCGGGUUAAGAUGCGAGCUGUGCUAGUUCAACAAGGGUUGCUUAAGGCGCUACAGGGUGUGGAGGCCUUGCCACAAGAUUGGUCUGCUGAAGAAAAAGAAGACACUUUGAAUCGAGCAUAUAGUGCAAUUAUGUUAUCACUAUCUGAUGAAGUUCUUCGUGAGAUGGAAAAUGAAACUACUGCAGCUGGUUUGUGGCUUAAGUUGGAGAGUAUAUACAUGACCAAAUCCCUCACCAAUCGUUUGUAUUUGAAGCAACGUUUGUACACUCUCCGUAUGACUGAAGGUACACCUAUUCAAAACCAUCUUGAUGAGUUUAAUAAGGUUAUUAUGGAUUUGAAAAGUAUGGAUAAUAAAAUUGAUGAUGAGGAUCAAUCUUUGAUUUUGUUGUGUUCUUUACCUCCUUCGUAUGCGAAUUUUGUUGAAACUUUGUUAUAUGGGAGAGAUUAUAUUUGUAUGGAGAAUGUAAAAGCCGCUUUGAAUUCAAGAGAGUUAAAGAACAAAGUAUUUGGAAAUUUGAAUGAUUCUCAUUCUGAGGCUUUUAUAGCAAGAGGCAGAGAUAGGGAAUAUGGUUCAGGUAGUAAUAAAGGAAAUUUGAGAUCGAAGUCUAAGACCAGAAACAACACAUGCAACUAUUGUCGCAAGGAAGGGCAUUGGAAAGUUGAUUGCCCAAAACUGAAAGAUAAUGUUGGUGUGAGUGCGAAUGUCGUCGAUGACGACUUCGACUUUGUUCUAUGAUGACAGUUGGCUACACCAGAUUUGAAAUAAAAAAAAUAAAAAAAAAAGAAAAAAAGAAGAAAGGGAAUCUGGUGUUGUGGGUACUCUUAAAUCUCUUUGCUACAUAUGGAGAUUUAAGAUUUUGUAAGGAUUCUUUGUUAUGAUUUGAGAAAGUUGCUUAGUAGCCUCUAUGUAUGUUUGUGUUAUGUCAGUUGCUCUUCAUCGGUGUUUUUAUUGUUUUGGAUAUUGGUAUGGUUUUGCUUUUUUUUGGUAAAGUUGAAUUCAGUGAGGGCCAAUUUGUUAAGUUCUGCAAGUUUGGAUAGUGAGACACCACACUAUUUUGGAGACACCACAUGCACUGCAGAACAUUUGUGUGGAACCCUCUUGUAGAAGGCAAGUUAUAUGCUUUCUAACUUUGUUUGGUCUAUGGACAUUUGGUUGGAUUUGUUUACCAUUGCUAUUUGGUCUGUUGGUCUCCAUCAUCUGCAAUUAGUUUUCUUGAAGACUCCAGUUGAGGUAUGAUUUUGGAUCUUUAGCUGAUUAUUUGAAUUUGAAAUUUUGGUUGACCUGUUGGUGCUCAUGUGAUGAUGGUAAACUUGAGUGAAAGGCAUAUUUUUUGUUGUGGUAUGUGAGACCUUGUUGCCAAAUUUGUAAUCAGUUUUGACUUGGAGAAUGUGCCAUGCUAUGUGAAUGAGUCUAUUGGUGCAGUUUAAGACCAUGGUGUUUAUGAGCAGGUGGAGUUCGUUGUGUGUCCAACUUUGGUAUGGUGUGCUUGAUCUUUUGUUGGUGAUAUUGAAGAAUUUCAGUUCUUCGUUUGAAUCACCUUUUGUUUUGAUCAAGGCACUUAUGGUUUGCAAAUUUGGAGACGACGGUAGAGAAAUGGUCUACUUUUGUUGGCUUUGGUACAAUUUGAGUCGAGGUGGAGAUCAUUAUGAGUACCGAGAGCUUGUGGAAUUUGAUUUAGCUUCCGUUGUCUCUAGUUCGUAUUUUGGGUGCUUAUGAUGAUUGUUGAGUCGACUCUGUGUUGCUUUCGAGAAUUUCGCCAAGGUGGAGAUUGUUGGAUUUUGUGGCUCAAUACUUCUUGGGCCUUUAGUUUUUUGUCUCAAGCCCAAAUAGGUUUGGCCUUUUGUUACCCAUUUGAAAGCCACAUGGCAGCUAGGGUUUAAUUAAAAGGCACCAGCCUUAUAUAAGGCAAUUCAUGCCUUUUGGUAAAAAAAGAGAGCAUAAACUCAGCGGCAGCAGAUAGCAGAAAACAGAGAGCAGCCGAUAGAGAAGAAAACAAAGUGCUGCUGUUUUACUGUUCUCCAUUUGUGCAAUCAUUCAUUCAAAGAUAUAUUGCUACAUUUUGUGGCUUUUGGGAGAGAAGGAUUUGGUAUGUGUUUCUUCUUCUCCAUUUGUUCUUUGUAUGAGUGAAAGCUAUUGGGUGUAUGUGAGAUUUGGGUUUGAGUGUUGAACUCUAUUUGUAAUCUCCUUUUGAUAUUAGUGGAAUUUCCCCGCCGUAUCGGAACUGGACGUAAGCUUACGCCGAACCAGUAUAAAUCCUUGUGUCAUUUGGAUUAUUUGUCUUAUCAUAUUUUGCCGUUGUAGUUUAUUGGUUUCAUAUUUGACGUUUCCGCACAACAAAUAUUGCAUCAGCAACAAUAGGUAGGGCACUCUUCCUGAAAAUCUCAUUUUUCAGAUUUUUAACUAUAACUUGGUGCUCUUUUCAAGCACUGCAAACCUAUUUCGAGCCGCGAACACAGCUGGGCCUCCGAUUCCUCUUUUUGCCUCCUGCGCAGUAUCACCCCGACCAAAGCUAUCUUUGGGUAUAACGUAUAGUUCAUAAGACCCCCCUUCCAUAUCUGAACAUAUCAAAGCAGCAUUUUCUGUAGGGCUGUAAGAUAGUGUCUUUGCCCCUUGAUUCAAGUUGGAAGAACCACGAUGUGAAUAUAUCAAAAGAACAGGUGUAAAUAUAUCAAAUUUACAUGGUGGCAUAGACGUAAAUAUAUCAAAAGAACAGGCGGUGGCAAUUUUGCAAAAUAAAAUGAAAUCCGGCCAAAUUCACUGUUCAGGUGAACAGUGCAAUUGGAUUUCUUACUUUAGACUAAAGUAAUGAUCUAUUAAACUUCUUAAUGUCAGGAGAAAUUUUUCAUUGUUACUGAAACAUGAGGGGUAUAUCAAGUAUUUUUAUGCAAGUGGUGAAAAUUUUAUUUUUUAAGUUAUUAACUUUUUAAUACACAUAUCACACCAUUAGUAUAGUGACAAGUGAUGUAUCAUCCCGUAUUCCGAUCACACUAAAAAAUCUGUCUAAGAACGGUGUAAGUCUAUGUUUUAAGAUUAAAAACAAGGAAAAGUUAGAUCGUAACAAAGACCUUAUCAACCUUCUAUACGUUUCUAGAAAAACAAGAAAACAAUAUCUUCAAUUUCAUUUUUUCAGAAACCAAUAAAACGUUGAUAAGUUCUUGCUCCACCAUCUAUCUUUUCUUUCCUGUUUUUACUCAAAAUACACAGACUAUGUAGCCCUCACAAAAGUAUUUAAAUGACGGAAAUUUUAUUUGAACCCAUAUUUUGUAUCUCAACAUCCAGCUUAUUUUUUUAUACCCAUAUUGUAUUUGAUUUAUCUAUCAUUAUCUCUUUACACCCAACGUUAUUUCCAAAACAGCCAUUACUUAUCAAAACUCAACUCAAUCAAACUUCUUUUUACACCCAUAAAAAAUAAAACCCUAACCAGUCCAUCAUCUUCAUGGAGCAAAUCUCCUUCUCUCUCUUUAAAAAAUCCUUCCAUCUCCCAUGGUUGUCAUUCUGCACCCCAUCUACUCCUUUGUAGUCAUCAAAACAUCUUCCUCUUCCUUUUCUUCAUCAUUUGACAUCUCUAAAUUUCUAGAGCAUUAAUUAGCUUAAUAAUUGGUAUGUGUUCAAUCGAUUGGUUCAAUUUUUACGUAUUGAUUCCUUUUCCUUUUCAAUUAAAUGAGCUUUUGGUUAUAGUGUUUAAUGAGUUUGGUAUGUUUUAAUUAAAUGAGAAUCUUCUAGACUCUAUAUUCCUAUAUGUGGUAGAAAAAUGGGUACGUCCAUGAUAACUUUUGGUAAAUUAAUGAAUAUUUUUAACCGUUGAUAGUUUUUUUUUUUUUUUUGUCGAAAUAUGCAUGAAACACACACAUUUGUCCCUUCAUGCCACUUGGUUAUAAGCAAACAUCAUGCAAACAUCUAACUUACUAAUGCUAUCGCUUGACUUAAAAAAAAAUCGAAAUGUAUGUAGUGGAUAAACACAAUCUCAAACUUUAAUUGAACUCACAUAACAACGAUAAAUAAAGGCAUUAUCACAACUUAGGGGUGGUGAGCAAUCCCAUUAAAAUAGAACUUAAUAUAUACGUAUUAAAAACAAAAACAAAUUGAUGCAAAAUCUCCCGACGACUAAUACUAUUCCAAGUCAUGCAUGAAACAUACACAUGUCCCUUCAUGCCACUUGAUUAUAAGCAAACAUCAUGCAUGCACAAGUUAUUUACUAAUUAGUAUUACUACUAUUCAGCUAUCAUGACCCUUUUUUUUCUGUUACUCAUACGCCCAAGACAUUGUAAAUAAUGUUGAUUAUUCAAAACGAAUAGAUUUAUAAUUUCUAGUAUCUAAUAAAUAUCCAGAUUAAAAAUAUUCAUCAAUCUACAAAAUUUCCUCAUGGAGGUACCCAUUUUUUUGCCACAGAUACCAAUAUAGAGGCUAAAAGACAAUACGAUAUUAAAUUCAUAUGUGGUCGAGAUAUUUAUGAAUUUAAUCAUUAAAAUGCAUAAGCUCAAUUAUACAUUCAAGUUAGAUCAAUUCCCGAAGUUUUAGUCAACAAUAAAACUGCUUACCUAUGAGUUCACCUAUAAAACAUGCAAAAGCGAUAUACUUUUUAACCACAGUUAUAUGUGUUUGUACCAUACUUAGGGCAUUCGUAUUUAGAUCUCGUAUAAAUACUCGGGAGACUCAAAUGUAAUUAUGUAAUAAAUGAAGGGGCAAAUAUGUAAUAAGUAAGGAGCCCUUAUUCUAUAAAAGGGCCUCAUCACCCUCACAAUCCUCAAGCUUCACUUUCACAUUACAAAGCUCUCAUCCUCACAUACAGAGGCCAAGUUUUAGGCCAUGGGAGGAGAGCACACAGAAAAUAGGCUAAAGAGCGCAUUGCCACUAGCCUUCUUGUAUAUUCGCCAUUCAGAAUGAAACAAUAUCAACAUCAGUGUGGACGUAGCCCAAACAUUGGGGUGAACCACUAUACAUCUUGUGUUCUUUACUUUCUUGCAGAUUCACGGUCGGAUUUACGUUGUUCCGAUACCCUUCCGGUUUUGUGCAUCAACAUUUGGCGCCGUCUGUGGGAAACGAUACAAAAAGCUGUGUCGGUUCUCUUUCAUUUUUUCACCUCCAUCGUGAAUCUGCAAAAACCAACCCAAGGCUUUCCAGAAAACCCACGGAGCCACCUCCUCUCUCAGUCAGUCGCACACAAAAACCAAUUUGCAAACCCAAAGAAAACAUUUCCUCGUUUGGUUGCGGCUGUCCUCUCUCAUUCUCUCGUCGUGUUGCUUUCUUUUUCUCUCCCAGUAAGAGCCUCACGUCACAUAACUUGAAACCAACUCUUGUAAUUAGCACUUCUCUGAGAUUCAUGAAAGCGGAAAGCUCGAGAGAGAGAGAGAGAAAGAAAGCUUAGAGAGAGAGAAAGAACCGAUGGCUCUGAGUCUGAAUUCAAUGCUGACCUUCUUGUUUCACAACCUCACUGCCAAGUCCCACAAUCUCAGAUCUCCCAAAAUCUUCAUGGCCUCCACUCUUCAGUCAUCCACUAAAGAGACUGAGUUCAAUCGGGUUCUCCGCCUCUCUCCGCUUGUGUUCUUAAACCGAGUAGUGAGUUUAAUGUGUUUGGAAGAAAUCCAGCAGACAAGGAAAGCAAGCAGCUUAAGAGGUUGUUGAGGAACAGAGUUUCAGCACAGCAAGCAAGGGAGAGGAAUAAGGCAUAUUUCACACUUCCCCUAACAGAAAUAGCCGAUCCCAACCGCCAUCGGAUUUCAAAUCCACUCUGAGAACAAAUGGUGGAGAGUGGGAGCGAGACCGCCGCCGGAGCUAAACCCAAACGAAAACCAAUCGUAUGGCUGGGGAUUUUCCUCAUCUCCCACAGUUUCUUCUUCAGUAUCGUUUUCUCCGCCGCCAGGGUGGUGGCUCUCUCGCUGCUUCCGGUUCUCGUUAAGAACACUUACAUUUUCGAGAAUGCCCUCAUGCCUGGCUCUGCGGCAUCUACGCUUUCGAAUCAGAAGGUUGCAGAGGCAAGCAGAUUGGUUAAUGAUUUGACCUCUUCGAAUUCGAAGCCUCUCGUUUCAGCAAUUAGAAGGGGAGCCGCCUUGGCAGCCUGCCUUUCCUGAGCAAGACGUACGACAUGGUGGACGACCCGAUUACCAACCUGAUCGUAUCCUGGAGCUCCACCAACAGCAGCUUCGUGGUUUGGAACCUGCCGGAGUUCGCUAGGGACCUCCUGCAACUCUGGGCUUCUCUAGGACCUCCUUUCAAGAAUCUGGUACCCAAUAAACCGGUUCAGAAUAACCCAGUUCAAACUCGGGUUUUGGACUCCGAGAAAAAGAUGAUGCUGCAGACAGAUGACCCACGGGAGAACAUGCAAAAGGGGAAAAUCAUUUAUGGGUCGUCUUCCAUUUGAGGGAUCCAGCUGAAAUAAGCUUUCCCAUCCAUUGUUCUCACUUUCUUCGAAUUCCCUUCUACUCAUUCCUCUCGGCGCAGAGACAGACUGUAAAGAUUAAUUGGGUGCACAUGCAUGAUAGCAGCGCACAAACAGACAGAAAGCAGAAAACAGAAAGCGAAAGCGAAAGCAAAGCAGAAAAAACCGAGAAAAAGCAUAAAGCAAAAAUGAGGCUUUCCUCUGCGAGAGCACAUGGGGACACUGCAAAAGCAAGGAAUAAACACCCACACUACAAAAGUAAGGAAUAAACACCCCAUCAGAAUGAUGUGAUUUACUUUUCUUGUUUUUGAAUGAUGUGAUUUAUUUUUCUUAUCUUUCGGAGAUAUCUGUAUAACCCUAUCAGAAGGUAAUAAUAAAAUAAAAUAAAAUAAAAUAAACGGCAAGCCCAAAGUAAUGGGCUGGAAUGUUCUGUGAAAGGCGAAGGCCCAUAUGCCCAAAAAAGCCAGGCUUCUAUUAUCACCAAUCAGGUGAUCAAAAGUACGUCGAGUACUCCAAAUUUAUUCUGCAGCCUGCCGCUAGUAUCACCAACCAGGUGAUCAAAAGUACGCCCAGUACUCCAAAAUUAUUCGGCACCAUGCCGCUAUUAUCACCAACCAGGUGAUCAAAAGUGAUCAAAAGUACGCCCAGUACUCUAAAAUUAUUCGGCAGCUUGCCGUUAUUAUCACCAACCAGGUGAUCAAAAGUACGUCCAGUACUCCAAAAUUAUACAUGAGCAUCACUCAUGUCAAUCAUACAUAAACAUUUAUGAGCAUCACUCAUGUCAAUCAUACAUAAACAUUCAUGAAUAUCAUUCAUGUCAACAUUUAUGAGCAUCAUUCAUGUCAACAUUCAUGAGCAUCACUCAUGUCAACAUUCAUGAGCAUCACUCAUGUCAACAUUCAUGAGCAUCACUCAUAUAAACAUUCAUGAGCAUUACUCAUGUCAAUCAGCUUCGAAAGCUUCAUUUACAGAGCUCCAGCUUCGAGAGCUUCAUUUACGAAGCUCCAGCUUUCAAAGCUUCAUUUACAAAAGCUCUAUCUUCAAAGCUUCACUUGCAAAGCUUCACCUACAAAGCUUCAGUGCAGGGUAUACAAAUACCGCCUCCGAACAACCGCCACUUCGGCCCAUACAUGGUUCGAAUUUGAAGUCUCCAGCCAACAGACUCUAUUGACUGAAGACUUGGGGGACUACACUAUGUACCAUAUAUUGGGCCUCAUAAAAAAUACUUGGGGGACUUAGCCCAUUAUUUAUGUACUGAGGAGUGAACCCUUAUUCUAUAAAAGGGACUCUCUCACUUUCAUUAGAGAGCACCCAUUAUUCAUGUACUGAGGAACGAACCCUUAUUCUAUAAAAGGGACUCCCUCACCUUCAUUAGAGGGCAUCGCCGCCAGCUGAGCAACUGCCUCGCCGCGAGCAUCACUCCUAACCCAUCACUCAUGUAUUGAGGAGCGAGCCCUUAUUCUAUAAAAGGGACUCCCUCACCUUCAUUAGAGAGCAUCGCCGCCAGCUGAGCAACCGCCUCGCCACGAGCAUCACUCCUAACCCAUCAUUUAUGUAUUGAGGAGCGAGCCCUUAUUCUAUAAAAUGGACUCCCUCACCUUUAACGCCACAAGCCAAGCCAACCAAGGCAACAUAAGCCACAAGCAGAGCAACCUCGCAACAUGUGCUACUUCUAGUUGAGCAUCAUUUCAGAUUGGGCACCGCCUCAUAUCGAGUAUCAGUUCUAGACGACAUCUAGUUACUUCGACCCACACAUAAACUGAAUUUCAAAUCUCCAGCCAAAAGACUCUCUUGACUGAAGACUUGGGGGACUACUGUUUGUACCAUACUUAGGGCCUCCGUAUUUAGAUCUCGUAUAAAUACUCGGGAGACUCAAAUGUAAUUAUGUAAUAAAUGAAGGGGCAAAUAUGUAAUAAGUGAUGAGCCCUUAUUCUAUAAAAGGGCCCCCUCACCCUCACAAUCCUCAAGCCUCACUCUCACAUUACAAAGCUCUCAUCCUCACAUACAGAGGCCAAGUUUUAGGCCAUGGGAGGAGAGCACACAGAAAAUAGGCUAGAGAGCGCACUGCCUCUAGCCUUCUUGUAUAUUCGCCAUUCAGAGUGAAACAAUAUCAACAUUAGUGUGGACGUAGCCCAAAUAUUGGGGUGAACCACGAUACACCUUUUGUUCUUUACUUUCUUGCAAAUUCACGGUCGGAUUUAUGUUGUUCCAAGACUCCUCCGGUUUUGUGUAUCAACAUUAUGUAUUGUGAAUUUUUGUCCUCAACUUUUGUAGCAUAUACAAGCUAAAAGAUAAUACAAUAUUAAAUCCAUAUAUGGUCGAAAUAUUUAUCAGUUUAAUCAUUAAAAUGCAUAAACUCAAUUACACAUCCAGGUUAGAUCAAUUCUCGAAGUUUUGCUCCACAAUAAAAACUGCUUAGCUAUGAGUUCACCUAUAAAACAUGCAAAGGCAAUAUACUUUUUAGCCACAGUUCAAUGUAAUGUGAAUUGUUGUCUGCAACUUUUGUAUCUAAUAAAUAUCUACGGUUAAAAAUAUUCAUUGAUCUAUUAGAAGUUAUCAUGGACGUACCCAUUUUUCUACCACAUAUAGGAAUAUAGAGGCUAGAAGAUUAUCAUUUAAUUGAAACAUACCAAACUCAUUAAACACUCUAAUCAUAAGCUCAUACCAAUUAUUAAGCUAAUUAGUGCUCUAGAAAUUUAGAUAUGUCAAAUGAUGAAGAAAAGGAAGAGGGAGAGGUUUGGAUGACUAUGGAGGAGUAGAUGGGGGUGCGGAAUGACAACCAUGGGAGAUGGAAGGAUUUUUUAAAGAGAGAGAGAAGGGAAUUUGCUCUAUGGGGAGAUGAUGGACUGGGUAGGGUUUUAUUUUUUAUUUUUAAGUAGAUUGAGUUGGGUGUAAAAAGAAGUUUGAUUAAGUUGAGUUUUGAUAAGUAAGGGCGGUUUCGGAAAUGAUGUUGGGUGUAAAUAGAUAAUGAUAGAUAAAUCAAAUACAAUGUGGAUAUAAAAAGUAAGUUGGGUGUUGAGAUACAAAAUAUGGGUUCAAAUAAAAUUUCCCUUUCAACAACUAGUUUCUUAAAAAAAGAACAGUAAUGCUAUUCUUACCAUGUUUUUAUACCACAUUUAUAUAUCACCUUAUGUGGCAUUUGAUGUGGACAACCACAUCAUUUAAAUUAGAAUUUAAUUUAAAAUUAAAAAUCAUUUAAUAAAUCAAUAAUUCAAUAAUUAAAAUAAAAGCUGGAAUUAAAUGGUGAUUAUGGCAUACGAGGAGUCUUCUCCUUCCUUCCCCAUUCAAUCCUGCUUCUUCUCCCGUUUCUUCUUCAAUGCCAGUUCUUUCAUGCCGUAAUUUUUUCGCUCCCCUAUCUGGAUUAUUAGUACGCAUCUAUCAUUUUUUUUUCAAUGAAUUUAAUUUAUUUUUGUCUGUUUAUUUCUUCUUCUUUCUCUCAAUCUCCAUUAUGUAGCAAGAUAAAUUCUUCUUCGGGUCUUGAUCAGAGUCGACGUUAGUGGUGUCGUGGUGAGGGAUGAAGGUUUUUUGACGAUACGUACUUGAGAUUCCUUAAUUUGAUUAUAAGUAGGAACAAGAUGGAGUCCUUAAUGAUUCAAAGUGUUAAAUCUUCAACCCCCAGUGUCAUAUUUUUCUAUGAACAAAAAGGUUUAGGUAAAUAGUCUAAUGGAGAUCGAGAGAAAGAAGAAGAAUAAACUGACUACAAAAAUGUAAAUUCAUUGAAAAAUAAUGGUAAAUGCUUACCAAUAAUCCAAAUAGGGGAGCGUUGAUGAACCUUUGCCUUAUGAGAAUUAGUUGAGAUUGUGGUAGUCCACACCAAGGAAGAAAAUAUCGGUAAUAUCGGAAAUAUCGGUAGUCCGAAAACACGGAAAUAUCGAUGGAAAUAUCAGGAUAAUAUCGAUAUCGAUAAAAAUUACAUGGAAACCACGGAAAUUGUAAGAAAAACUUGGAAAUUUUUAUUGAAACUUUGCAGGAUGUUUAUUUAGUCAAUUAUCUAUUAGUUUAUCACAAAAAAUUGGAAGGAAAUGCAUUGCAUGAUGGAUUUAACUGAUUUAAGUUGAUUAUACAGCGAGCUGGCAAACACUGUGAGUGUAGAAAAUAUGUAGUAAUUAAUGAAAAAAAGAUUAAACACACCAUAAUCAUUUAUAUAUAAUGAUUUACUACAAUAUUUUACACUUUAUACAUUGCAGGGUAAGAUACAUGAGUGAUUUAGAAUCUUGAUGAAACCACCAUUACUUUUUAUCUUGUCAAAAGUUGUAAAAGUUGUCAAGAGUCAGAGACAGAGAGUCAGAGACAAGGUUAUGAAUUAAGGAAAACUAAUGAAAAGAGCUUGAAAACUUUGAGUUUUAACGAUAAGGACAAAAUAAAUGGUAAAAUGAAUAGUACCAAGAUUGAUUUUUUAGUGUAAAAAUGUGAUUUUUCAUUAAAGUGAACAGUACCAUGAGUUUUUUGUUAAAGUUCCCUAUGAAUUAUUUGAAUGCUUUUUUUUUUUUUCUCACACGCCACCACACACAUACACAGAGUCAGAGACUCUCACACGCCACCACACACGCACACAGAGACAUUUAUAAAAUAUAUGUUUAAUUUAAAUAGGUUUAAGAAUUAUGUGGAUCGUCGGAUUGGUUGAGAUUUAAUCUCAACCGUCCAAUCCAACUUAAGUUUUUCAGUCCUCUCCUCUCCGUCUCUCAUUCUGAAUCUCUGAUUCAUAGACACGCACACACAUUCUUGAACUCUCUCAAGUCUGAACCCAAUCUCAUCUCUCUCAGUCUCGACUCCACAGUCGUCGAGACGCCAUCAUCAUCAUCCAAGAGUCACCGCAGAAAAAAGGGGCGCCGUUGUCGUCAGAAGUAAGGAGGCGCCGUCAUCGAGACUCUUGCCUCUCCUUCUGUAGAAGUAUGAAGGAGGCACCGUCAUCGUCAUCCAAGAGUUGUCGACGUUGUUGUUAUCCAAGAGUCGCCGCAGAAGAUUUGACAACGAUUCUGCAUUGUAUACUGAGUCCAAUGGUUUCGAUAGUCGCAACUCCUCUCCGGCGAAGCUCCAGGGAGCGGAAGGAACGAAGCAGUCGUAGAAAAAGCAGCCGCCGGAAUGAACGAUGAGAUUUCUGGGUUGAUUUCAAAAUAUAAGGUUUUAUUUCGAUUUUUUUUUCUGGGUUGAUUUCUAGGGUUUGUCAAGAUUGGGGUUGAAUCUGUUUUGAUUGUUUCUUGAUCUGCAAUUGGAACAAGAUUGGGGUUGAUUUCUGGGUUGAUUUCUAAAAUGUCGCGAUAAUAUCGGUAAUAUCGCGAUAUUAUCGAUAAUAUCGAUAAUAUCGCGAUAUUAUCGAUAAUAUCGAUAAUAUCGCGAUAUUUUGACGAAAACCUAUUGGAUGUGUGUGGAAAUAUCGGACUCCGAAAAAAACGAUAAUAUCGGCGAAAUAUCGCCGAUAUUAUCGAUUUUUUAUACCCUGGUCCACACUAACAUAAAAAAAACUGGUGCGAAAAAAUAUGGCGUGAAAGAACUGACGGAAGAAGAAACGGGAGAAGAAGCAUGAUUGAAUGGGGAAGGAAGGAGAAGAUUCCUCGUAUGCCACAAUCACCAUUUAAUUCCAGCUUUUGUUUUAAUUAUUGAUUAUAAAAACAUGGUAAGAGUAUCAUUACUGAAAAAAGAAAGAAAAUAAUCAAUAAAUUCACUUUAGGUGUAAAUACAUAUAUUCACAUCGCUUUACUUAUUUAUAUAUUCCAAGUUAAUUAAGGUAAUUAAGUAAUCUUUCUUGACUCAACUUUAAAUAAUUAAAUAAACUUGGCUUGACUUUGCACACUCCCCUCGCUUAUUGACUAAUGACUCAGUACUAAGUCAUUAUCACAACUUAGGGGUGGUGAGCAAUCCCAUUAAAAUAGAACUUAAUAUUUACAUAUUAAAAACAAAAACAAAUUGAUGCAAAAUCUCCCGACGACUAAUACUUUCCCAAGUCAUGCAUGAAACAUACACAUUUGUCCCUUCAUGCCACUUGGUUAUAAGCAAACAUCAUGUCAUGCAUAAAACAUACACAUUUGUCCCUACAUCUAACUUACUAAUGUUAUCGCUUGACUUAAAAAAAAAAAAAAAAAUCGAAAUGUAUGUAGUGGAUAAACACAAUCUCAAACUUUAAUUGAACUCACAUAACAACGAUAAAUAAAGGCAUUAUCACAACUUAGGGGUGGUGAGCAAUCCCAUUAAAAUAGAACUUAAUAUAUACAUAUUAAAAACAAAAACAAAUUGAUGCAAAAUCUCCCAACAACUAAUACUAUUCCAAGUCAUGCAUGAAACAUACACAUGUCCCUUCAUGCCACUUGAUUAUAAUCAAACAUUAUGCAUUUACUAAUACUAUUCCAAGUCAUGCAUGAAACCUACACAUUUGUCCCUUCAUGCCACUUGAUUAUAAGCAAACAUCAUGCAUGCACAAGUUAUUUACUAAUUAGUAUUACUACUAUUCAGCUUGUAUCAUGACCUUUUUUUUUUUUUCUGUUACUCAUACGCCCAAGACAUUGUAAAUAAUGUUGAUUAUUCAAAACGAAUCAACAACUAGUUGCACAUGGUCACAGUCAGUGAUACUCCCAACUUGAUAAAGAAAGACAAACAAGGAAAUCGAAUUCCAAACUAAAAUAAAAUGUAUAUAAAUAUAGAAAAUUGUUAUUAGCACUCCAAAAAUCUCAUUUGGCAUUCCAAACUUUCUAUAAUUAGAAAGAAAAAUACACUUGUGCAAAGUGUAGAAUGAAAUUUUUUGAGUGCUAAUAACAGUUCCCUAAAUAUGUCUUAACAAAUAUUGUACGUGGCAUUGUUUUAGACUUUCGCGAAUAGACUUAUAAUUUCUAGUAUCUAAUAAAUAUCCAAAUUGAAAAUAUUCAUCGAUCUACAAAAUUUUCUCAUGGAGGUACCCAUUUUUUUUUGCCACAGAUACCAAUAUAGAGGCUAAAAGACAAUACGAUAUUAAAUUCAUAUGUGGUCGAGAUUUUUAUGAAUUUAAUCAUUAAAAUGCAUAAACUCAAUUAUACAUUCAAGUUAGAUCAAUUCCUGAAGUUUUAGUCAAUAAUAAAACUACUUAUCUAUGAGUUCACCUAUAAAAUGUGCAAAGGAGAUAUACUUUUUAACCACAGUUUUAUGUAUUAUGAAUUUUUAUCCGCAACUUUUGUGGCAUAUAGAGGCUAAAAGAUACUACGAUAUUGAAUCCAUAUAUGGUCAAAAUAUUUAUCAGUUUAAUCAUUAAAAUGCAUAAACUAAGUUACACAUCCAUGUUAGAUCAAUUCCCGAAGUUUUGCUCCACAAUAAAAACUGCUUAGCUAUGAGUUCGCCUUUAAAACGUAAAAAAAAAAAAGGAGUGAAAAAAUAUGGCGUGAAAGAACUGGCGGAAGAAGAAACGGGAGAAGAAGCAUGAUUGAAUGGGGAAGGAAGGAGAAGAUUCCUCGUAUGCCACAAUCACCUUUUAAUUCCAGCUUUUGUUUUAAUUAUUGAUUUAUUUAAUGAUUUUUAAUUUAAAUUAAAUUAUGAUUAAUUUAAAUGAUGUGGCUGUCCACAUCAAAUACCACAUAAGGUGGUAUAUAAAUGUGAUAUAAAAACAUGGUAAGAGUAUCAUUACUGAAAAAAGAAAGAAAAUAAUCAAUAAAUUCACUUCAGGUGUAAAUACGUAGAUUUGCAUCGCUUUAUUUAUUUAUUUAUUUGUAUAUUCCAAGUUGAUUAAGGUAAUUAAGUAAUCUUUCUUGACUUAACUUUAAAUAAUUAAAUAAACUUGGCUUGACUUUGCACUGCCGUCGCUUAUUGACUAAUGACUCAGUACUAAGUCUUUUUUUUUUUUUUUUUUGGUCAGGUACUAAGUGAGAUCGAUAUUUUCUUGUGCUCGUCCUGGAAAUAAACCGGACAAAGCCUAAUGGUGGACUAAAACAAUAACAGACAAAUCAGCCAAGAUGAGGAACACAAAAUAUGCCACCAUGCGUUUUAAUCCCUUCCAUUUAUAUUAAUUCCUACGGAAGGCCAACCAUGCUCAAGGCAACGCGUAUCGACUAAUGACUAAUACUAAGUCAGGUGGAUGUUUUCUUGUGCAUUUCCUGGAAAUGAAUGGGACAAAGCCUAGUUGUGGACUAAAACAAUAACAGACAAUUAAGAGUAGGGACACAUUUUCCCCCAAUCCAAAAUAUUCCACCACGCGUUUUAAUCCCUUCCACGUAUAUAUUCCUACAGAAGGCCAACCUUCUUAAUUAGCAGUUCCUUAAUUUCUUGGAUCCAUCACCUGCUUGGAUUUUCUCUGCUACUGCUAGGAUCUGCUCGACCCUUUUUAGUUAAUACUACAUGGCGUUACAUAGGAGGAUGCAUAUUUUGCAUCUCUCUUUAGUAAUGGUGGUAGUUGUUACAAUUUUACUAGGAACUCCAACUCCAACAACAGCUCAAUCUCUCCUUCCGCCUCAGCUGGCACUGCCUGACUGCCCUGACCAUUGUGGCAAUCUCACAAUUCCAUACCCAUUUGGCAUAGGCUCUGAUUGCUACCUCGACGACCGGUUUGAAAUCACUUGUAACAUUUCCACUCAACCGCCAACAGCAUUUUUGAUGACGGGCAAUGUCGAAAUUACCAACAUAUCUCUUUAUGACGGUGAGGUCCAAAUACUACAGUUCGCAACCAGUGAUUGUUAUGAUGCUCAAGGCAACUCGAACGAAACGAACAGUGCCGAUCUCUCUGUGCCUCCUCCUUACACCAUCUCCAAAACCAAAAACAUGUUCGUUGCAGUUGGAUGCGACACAUAUGCGUUUUUUAUAGGUUACCGGGGUGAAAAAAAGUACACAACUGGGUGUAUGUCCAUAUGUGACAAUCUUGGCAACGCUAUCGAUCAGCGGGAUACUUGCUCUGGCGUUGGAUGUUGCCAAACUAAAAUCCCCAGUGGGCUGCAAAAUCAGACUGUGACCUUGGGAGGCUUUAACAAUUAUACGGAUGUGCGGGACAGCAACCGAUGCAGCUACGCGUUCCUUGUGCAAGAAGGCGAGUUCAACUUUAAAAAUACAAGUCUUCAAGAACUAAACAAGAAAGCCCAGCUUCGGGAAAUUCUUGAUUGGAAAAUUGGGAAGGAAUGAGUUAUGUAAUAUUGCAGCUAAAAACGAUAGCACUUUUGCAUGCAAGGCAAAUAGCUUCUGCCAUAAUCGGACUUCAGGCUCCAUAUGCCGGUGCCUGCCAGGUUACGAAGGGAACCCAUACCUCCCGGAUGGUUGCCAAGGUAAAUAAAUCUAGACACCAUUGACCAUUUGAUUAUUAUUAUUAUAAACAAUUUUGCGUAUAUCAAAACAUAAUUAUAUGUAUGUAUGUAUGCAUGCACGUGUGUAUGUAUGUACGUGUGUACGCAUGUACGUGUGUAUGCGUGUACAUGUGUAUGUGUGUACGCGUAUGUGUGUCUGUGUACUUGUGUGUCUGUGUACGUGUGUAUGUAUGUGUACGUGUAUAUGUAUGUAGGUAGGUCUACUUAUUUGAUUAUGGUUUAAACAAAUAAAUUUUCGAUUUGCUUGACUUUCUUGCAUAUAUGAUUGUAUUGUUAGGAUUUGGACCCAUCCGGUUUCAAAUUGUGGGAAUUCUAAGGAUUCUCAUAUUUUAACCAUUCAUCGUGUAUCGUAGGGUAAAAAAUUAAAUCUAGACACCAUUUGACCAUUGGAUUAUUAUCAAAACAAUUUUAUGUUUAUCAAAACAUCUUGUAUGUAUUUAUGUAUGUAUUUAUGUAUGUAUGUAUGUAUGUAUGUAUGUAUGCAUGCAUGCAUGCAUUAUGUAUGUAUGUACAUAUGUAUAUGUAUGUAUGCAUGCAUACAUGUAUGUAUGUGUGUAUAUGUACAUGUGUACGUAUGUAUGGAUGUACGUACGUACGUACGUACAUAAUGUAUGUAUGUAUGUAUUGACGUAUUGUAUGUAUGUCUACUUAUUUUAUCAUGGUUAGACAACUACAUUAUCAAUUUGCUUGACUUUCUUGCAUAUAUGAUUGUAUUGUUAAGGUCAGUUGAGGGAUUGAACACACUUGUGAUCCUUUUAUAUCUUACUAGCAUCUUGCCACACCCUCGUGCUGUGGCAAUUUGCUCUUUUACACUUUUUAUUAUUUAUUAAUUUGAAAUUUUUUAUUUUUGUUUAGUUUGAAUUUUUUUUAAGGGACACUUUGGAUGCGGUCCCUAACUAUCAAUAUUCUUUUAUUGAAACCUUGUUAGUUUUUAGUUUUUGAUUGAGGUCCCUGACAUUAAUGUAAUAAUGUAAGUUACUAUAUUUUUUAAAUUAAAAAUUAAAAAUUGAAAUUUGUAAUUGUUUAUAUUAAUGAGAUUUUAAAUAAAACCCAUAAUUUAUGGGAUUAAAAAUAAUAAAAUAUAAAUUAUACUCUCUAUUAUAUUGUGUGUGUGUGUGUAUAUACAUAUAUGUAUGGGUACAUUAACCAAAAUUAACAAAAAAAGUUAUUGUACCAAAACAUGGAUACAUUCUCAAAUCAACAAAAAAGAAUGUACCCAUAUAAGUUUAAACAUGGAUUAAAAAUUUUGAAAGGAUUUUAUAUUAAAAAAGGGUACAUUUUAAAUAUAACAAAUUGAUAUAUUUGAGAAUGGGUACAUUUAAGAUUAAAAAAAAUUGAAAAAUUAUAUAAAUGGGUACAUUUAAGAUUAAAAAUUGAGAAUCUUUUUAUAUAUAUAAAAAAAACUAAUAGGUACAAACUUAAUUUAAUUUAAUUUAUUAUUAUUUUGGAAAUGUUUGAAUUGAAAAUUAAUUAGAAGUUUAAAAGAGGUGUGAGUAUUAAACCCUAAAUUAAUUACUAAUUUUUAUAUUAAAAAAUUAUAUAAUAAACAUGUAAAUUCAUUAUCACAUUAAUGCUAGGGACUUGAAUCAAAAUUUGAGAACUAAUAAGGUCUUAGUCAAUGAACAGUAAGAACUAGGGACCGGAUACUAAUUUUUCCUUUUUUUAAAUUAAAUUGUUUUAUUAGAAUUCUGAUUAGGAAGGGAUAUUUUGAGAAUAUUAAAAGCUUCACCAUUUUGGUCCACUCACUUUAUAUAUAAUAGGGUAAAUAUUAGUUUAAUACUCUUAUGUUUCAUGGUUUUCAACAUUUAGUACAUCAAGUUUUUUUCGUCCCAGAUUCAUACCUAAAGUGUAAAUUUUGGGACAGUCUCAUACAUCUGCUAGUCUAACUGUUAAGUCUUCCGUUAACUAAUGACGUGGCGCCCACAUGGAUAAUCACGGGGCGCCACGUGUCAAUAAGAGUCGCAUGUGGAUAUUAAAAAUUACAAAAUUACAAAAAAAAAAAUGUUCUUCUCCUUCGAACAUCUUCUUCUUCUCCCUCCCUUCUUUAACCCUCCUCUCUCUCCUCCUCUGCACACCCUCUCCGCACACCCUCUCCGCACACCAUCUCCACUUUCUCUCUCUAACCCUCAUCUCUCUCCUCCUAUGCACACCAUCUCCGCACACCAUAUCCACUUCACAGCUUCUGGGCCACUCUGCUUUGCCAAAGAGUUACUAAGUCUGAAUCCUAAACUCGCCGCCGAGCUGGACUCCCGCAGCUCUUCGCCUCUUCAUCUGGCGAAGUCAAAAGGGUCGGUGGAAAUAGUGAAAAUCUGGUGUGGGUCAACCCAGAUCUGGGUUUGGUGUUGGAUCGCGAUGGGUUCGCUCCCUUACAUCUGGGUGUGAUCAAGGGGCGAGCUGGCCGAGUUGGCCUGAGUCAGACCGGCGGCGAAGGUGUGCCGAGGAGGGUGUUCGGAGGAAAGAAGGGAGGGAGAGGGUCGGGGGUUGAGUAAGGUGCCCAGAAACUUUUUUUUUUUAAUUUUUAAAUUGAGUAGGUUGGGGGUUAAGGUCGGGGGUUGAGGGAGGGAGAGGGUUGGAUUUGCACAUAUGGGUGGAGGCUGAGAAGGGAGGGAGAAGGGAGGGAUGGUUGGGGUUGAGGAAGAACAGCCUUUUUUUUUUUUUUUUGUAAUUUUGUAAUUUUAAAUUUUUUUUAAUAUCCACGUGGAACCUUUAUUGACACGUGGCGCCCAGUCAUUGUCCACAUGGACGCUACAUCAUCAGUUAACAGAAGACUUAACAGUUUAACUAACGGAUGUAUGAGACAGUCCUAAAAUUUACACUUUAGGUAUAACUCUGGGACGAAAAAAACUUGAUGUGCUAAAUAUUAAAAACUACAAAAUAUGAAGGUAGUGAACUGAUAUUUACCCUAUAAUAUAUAUAUAUACACACACUAGCCUCUUCUCAUACGCCUACGUGUGUGACAAUUGUCUUUUUUUAAUUAUUAUUAUUAAGUUUUGUUUUAAGUUUACUUAUUUUAAAUAUUAUUUUAAUUAGUAUAUAUUUUGAAAAAUAAUGAACUUACUAACAACUCUACACGAAUUUUUUUUUUGAAAUCCUAAUGGAGAAGGGCAAUUUGGGUAUUAUGAAAACUUCACAAUUUUUGCCUUCUCUCUUUAUAUGUAGGUAAAUUAUAUUGCAAAGUACUAGUAGUUAAAACAGCAUUAUUCAGCAAAUAAUUGCCACUUUUGUUGGGAUGACUAUAAUAUUGGUACAAAAAAAUUGCAUAACAGCGUGGGUUCGAACCCCAUCAGUGACAAAUCUAAUUUCUAACUUAACGACAAUAUCGCUCAACUCAAAAAAAAUAAAAUAAAAUAAUGUUCACGGUAAUAGAAAAUUAAAGCACGCACUACGGCACUAGCAGUAAUAAGCUAAAAGAACAUUCUCUGUUACAGUUGUUUUAAAACAUUAAAACUAAAAUAAAUUAGGUUCUUGUUCCUUAUUUUUCUUUCUUAUUAAUUGAUUUUUUUAUCAAGAUCCUUUGACUUUUGUCCAUGUUAUUAUUUGAAUAUUUAAUUAUUUCAAUGUCAUCAUAUGUCAAUUCUAAAAAUGAAAACCACAGCAAGCGGCCCAGUGGUAAAGGUGCAGACUACGGCUCCCCAAUAAACAAAAAAAUGUGGGAGGUCCCGGGUUCCAUACUCCAAGCUGGUGAGCCUGCUUGACUGUGGCCACGGGCAGGGUGAAAUUCCCUAUAGCCUCUCCGGACCCAAAAGAGGUAGAUAACUGUGGCUUGACACAAGUUGUUCCCUUUUUUUAAAAUAGAAAAUAAAUUCUGAAAAUGAAAAACUUAUGAAUCGUAUCCACAUAUACUUUUUAGUAUUUCACAUAUUUUUAUUUCUAAUUUGUACCCACUUUUUUGUACCAAUAUUCUUUUUAGUUCUAAUUUGUACCCAUAAUUUUAAAUUUUAAUAUGUACCAUAUUUUUUAAUCUAAUAUGGACCCAUAUUUUUUUGGUGAAAUGCUAAUUACAUGUAUUUAUUUUAUGUUUUAAGAUAUAUCAGUAGUUAUUUCUUAGAAAAUAUUAAUAAUUACAUGGGUACAUUAUUUUUUUUUUGUUAGAAUUAUGUGAAGAACAAUAUUACUCUAUUUUUUAUUUUUAAGUAAUUAUUGUAUUGUAAUUUUUUUUUAAAUUUCAUAAUUUGUGGGAUAUUGAAUGAGCUAGGAACCUCAAACAAAAUAUUCAAAUAAAUAAGGUUUCAAUCUAAUAAUUAGAUUGAUUAGACCAGAAUCAAAAUGACCCUUAAAAUAAUAUGUAGCCAAAGUAGCCACCAAUUAGCCACAGGUGCUGUUGCUCUGUGAAGAUAGUGCCCACAAUCUAAUAGUAAUGGUGCCCAAUUACUAAAUUUGCCGUGGAUUGUCAAAUCUGUGGGUUUAUGAACUGUUUCCUUUGGCCAUUUUUUAGUAGCGAGUUGUUUACAAAAAGUCUCAAAAGUGGGAUUUAAUUUUUACCUAUUGUCCAUGGAUUUAAUUCAUUCUUUUUCUGUUCAGAUAUUGAUGAGUGCAAGGCUCCAGACUACUGCGGUAAUGGAACCUGCAUAAAUACACCGGGAGGUCAUUCUUGUCUAUGUCCGAUAGGGUACAAAUAUGGCGAUCUGGAUAAAAAAACUUGCAUCAAGGACAAUGGUCGAGCAAAGCUCAGUCUCCUGCUUAUUAUUGCACUAGGUAUGCAUAUGUUAGUUUUAUUGUAAUUUUUUCUUUUACAUCGCCUUUGGAUUUAAAGAUGAAUGUUCUUAAAAAACCCAGCUGCAAAUCUCUUACUUUAGGUUGUUAAUUUAUUAUUUACAUGUCAUAUCAUAUAGUCCUAGUCUAAAAUUCUAAACUUACUAUUUAUCUUUGAACAAUUGCACUCAAAUUUUAUUUACUUUACCCACUUUUAGAUCCAAAACUUUCACACGUACUUAUAUCAUAAGUGUUCUCUGAAAGACAGGUUUUUAAUCAAUAUUGUAAAUAAUGUAGCAAUCGAAAUCGAUAUGUACACUUUGUUUUUGACAUGAUAUCAAAAUUAACAUCGACACCUUGUCACUAACAUACGGAGAGUCUGUCUUGCCCAGAGAAUACUUACAUAUGUGUCAAUAACAUAUGGAGAGUCAUCUUUGCAGGUGCCAGUGGAGGUUUCUUGCUUUUACUAAGUGGAUCUUGGAUAUAUUGGGGAAUGCAAAGAAGAAAGUUCCUCAAACUCAAAGAAAAAUACUUUAAAGAAAAUGGUGGCUUAUUGUUACAACAAAAAAUCGCUAGUCAAGGAGGCUCUGUCGAGACAACAAAAAUUUUCACGGCAGAAGAACUUGAGAAGGCAACAAACAAUUACCAUGAAAGUGGAAUCCUUGGUGAAGGAGGCUAUGGAAUAGUUUACAAAGGAAUAUUAGCAGCAGAUAACAAUAAAGUGGUUGCCAUAAAAAAAGUCUAAAAUUUGUGUCCCAACGCAGAAGGAGCAGUUUGUCAACGAGUUGCUUGUUCUCUCUCAAAUCAACCAUAGAAAUGUGGUGAGGUUAUUGGGUUGUUGUUUGGAGUUAGAAGUUCCUCUACUAGUUUACGAGUUUAUCGCUCACGGCACUCUCUUUGAGCACAUACAUGGCAAAAAGAGGAAAGGAUCAUCAUUUUCAUUGGAAUUACGACUCAAGAUAGCUGCUGAAACUGCUGGAGCACUAGCAUACUUACACUCCUCAGCUCUGAUGCAAAUCAUACAUCGAGAUGUGAAACUGACAAAUAUACUGUUAGAUGAAAAUUACACGGCAAAAGUGUCAGACUUUGGAGCUUCACGAUUGAUUCCUCUUGAUCAAGCCCAACUUGCAACUUUAGUGCAAGGAACAAUCGGAUACUUGGACCCUGAAUACUUCCACACGAGUCAACUAACAGAUAAGAGUGACGUCUAUAGCUUUGGAGUUGUCCUUAUGGAGCUACUAACAAGUAAACUGGCACUUGAUUCUCAUAGGCCUGAGGGAGAGAAAAACCUGGCAAGGUUCUUUCUUUGUUUAAUGGAAGAGGAUCGCCUGAAUGAAAUUCUCGAUGAUGACAUACUUAACGAGAGAAACAUCAAGACAUUAAAAACAGUGGCCAAUCUGGCAAAAAGAUGUGUAAGGUUAAAAGGGGAGGACAUGCCAACAAUGAAAGAAGUUGCCAUGGAGCUUGAAGGAAUGAGAAUUACAGAAAAGCAUCCAUGGGGAAAAGCUGAAAUUUGUUCAGAAGAGACUGAGUGCUUACUUGGGCCAGGUAACUCAGAUGCUUAUCCUAUGGAUGUUAGAGCUGGUUCUAGUUCUGGUACAACUAUUGGGUAAGACAGCAUGCAGAUCCAGAUGUUAAUUCCAUAUGAUGAUGGAAGAUAAUUCACUACUUCAUAUAAUCAACAUUGUUCAUCAUUCUAGCCAUAGUGAAAUAGUAUUAUUUUUCAUCACAGACCAUAAGUGUAGCCGAUGUCCUUCCUCUGUACCCUCGAGUUUGAAAUUUUCUUUUGCUACAGUUUAGAUUUAGUUGAAAGUAAAGUAUCGCUUGUAUAAAAUAAAAUAUUAAUUUUCAUCAUUUUGACAGUUUUUAUUUAGGAACCAGGAUCCUCUCCUGAGCAGUUCCCUAGGGAUCCCACAAUCUUGUCCGUUCAUUUUUUAUCGUGCGGUCAGUUUUCGUUAGGUACUAUUCAUAUUUGAAUUUUAAAAUUUAAAUUUUAAAUAAUUUCUGAUCGUACAAUAUACGAUGAACGGACAUGAUUGCGGGAUCCCUAGGGAACUGCUCAGGAGAGUAUCCUGGUUCUUUAUUUAGGGUAUGUAUCUGAGCAUUAAAUGGUGAAGAUCCCAACCUUGCACGUAAGAAGUGGCCCAACACCAAAAACUAUGGCUAAUUUCUUCUUCAAAAUAAGUACGAGUUUGGAAGAUCCUGAGUUACAUGCUUAUGACAUUCCGUACUUAAUUAGUGUAUAUGAUAAUUAAUUGUUAACAUGGUAGUGAGAAAUAUUUCAAAAAAUAAAGUUAUAGAAAGAAAGAAAAAAUCCCCGUAUAUCAACUACUAAAGUCGGUGAAGUAAUAGGUAAGUGCAACAACAGUUGAGUGCAAAAGUGAAAAUUUUAAGUGUUUUUAAGUGUUUUUCCUUGGCUUUUUAAGUGUUUUUUUUAAUUAUCUGGUACCAAAGUAUUUCAAAGGAAAUGGUGGCUUCUUGUUACAACGACUACGAUUCAACGAGGAGGGAUCGAUGGAGACAACAACAAUCUUUACAGCAGAAGGACUUGAGAAGGCCACAGACAACUACCAUGAGAGCAGAAGAACUUAAUGCAGUGGUUGCCAUAGAAAAGUCGAAAACCGGUGCAAUGUUCAUGAGUUCAUCAGCAGGGGAACUCUUUGAUCAUCUUCAUAGCAUAAAGAGCAAGAAUCAUCGCUUUCAUGGGAGUUACGACUGAAGAUCGCGGCAGAAACUGCCGGAGCACUGGCGUACUUACACUCCUCCACCUCCAUGCCAAUCAUACACCAAGAUGUGAAUAUAAUUAGCACAAAGUUACUCAGGCACACAAGAAAUGAAAUACAUUCCAAACACAACAUAUUCAAAAUCCAGGCAGAUUGACAUUUCUCGGAUGGAAUUCAAAAAAGAGUUUUAACAUGAAAAUGGUGUCUACAAUAUAUGAGAUUUCAAAGUUACAAAUCUUUGGAAAAGCAAGUAAUUUACCAACUCAAUCUAAUUUGUUUAUUUUCAAAAGUCACAAGAAUCACCUAGACCAAAAUGCUCAACCUGUUCAUUACAGCGAAAUCAUGAUCACGUACCUUGAAAUAAAAUUUGAAAUAGAAAUACAAGAGAAGCACAACCUAAUCAAAUCGCGUUCUUUAACAUAGAAACCCUGCUCAAGGAGAUGAGAAAACUAACAUAACCGUUGUCGUACUUGAAGGUUGAAAAAUUUGCGACCACUUGAGCAGCAGGAGAUCAUCUUAUCUGGGUGGGAGAACAGAGCAAACCAGAGGAAUCUGAUCCAACCACUGAAAGAUCACAAACAGUACAAAGCUUCCCUUCCUGGUCGGGAACAAACCGAGAACUGCAGUACAGGCAUGACACAUCCUUCUGUCCACGGUAAAUAGGCACGUAUGUUGCCCCGCAAACCACAAAUGGGUUUCUGAAAUCAUAGUUUAGCUGGGUUGCAUCAGUCAUAGUUUAGCAGGAUUUGUCUUGCAGUCUUUGCAUGGUUUUCAAUGGUGGGGUUGGUUUCCAAAAGUCGCCUGGCAAAGUUAGCUGCCGUGUUGAGAUUACCAGCCUUAUAGCAAACACUCAUGGCAUUUAGUAAUGCAAGUCUCAAGUGAGGCAUCUGAAGGUUGCAGUGGGUGAAGUAAGCAGCUAGCUCCUGUUGGCGAAUCGGAUCGCCUUUAAGUUCCUUCCUCUUAAUCUCCAUCUUCAAACCUAGAACAUACUCCUUUACAAUGAUAAUUAAUUCUUUUACUUCAUCAACCUCUCUCUUUGAAUCAACUACGAUCAGAGGAAUAGUAUACAGAAUACCAAGGAGAAGACGUAAAGCAUCAGCAAAUUUCCCUUGCGUUGUGGCCUUGUAACCCGCCUUAAGCUUCUCUUCUAGCUCUGAGAAUUUAAAUACAAGAGCAGGAGGACCCCUAACAUUAGGUGUAGCUGAUUCACUCCAUCCCCUCUCAAUGGCCACGGUGAGCACAUGAGCUGCCGAGAAGGCAUGUAGAUACAUAUGACUGCCCAUGUGUAAAUCGAGAAAUAAUUGUCUCAAGGGAUCAAAGUUCUUUACACCCAGCUCCCUGCUCAACAAACGCAUUGCAAUAUCGAAAUUCCCAGCAGUAGCAUGUUCAGCAACAAAGAGAUGAUUUCUGGGGACCAGGUUUGGCUUACAGGCAUACCUGGAGUUGGGGCAACAAACACAGAAGAACGGGCAUUGCUGGCAGUUUUUUGGAGUAUCAAUCUCAGGUGGAAGUUCAAGAUCGCAUCCAGCACUGCACUGAUGUCUCCAUUUGGAAUAUUGUCCACGUCAACAAGAUCCAACUCCUCUCCCCAAUCAGCAUCUGCAACCUCUUCAUAAUCUUCCUCAAUAUUCUUGCCCACAUUAUCAAGACCACCCUCAAAUAUUCCUCUCAUGACCCUCAACAAGGGCCAAUCUCCUCCGCAGAUGAUUGGCAUUGGUGGUAACAAAAGAGACGGAGAUUUCACCUUGGGUAAAACAGGAACAUUAUCUCCCAGUUCAGCCGCCAAACGUUCGGCAAUAUCAUGGAGCCCAUGAAUUUGCAUUACCCUGACGAAGGGCCUCCACUCCCAAUCGAUACCAGUGAUCUUUCUCAUCAAUUUCCUUGGCAGAAGCAACAGCAAUCUGGAUGUUCCCGCUCCCUAGUGCCAAGUUGAAGCGAGUCCUCUCAUCCUUCACAAAAUGAAGGGCAACCUCAGGGAAACCUUUCUGCUGUAGAUAUGCAAUCAUGGCCUGGCCACACAGCUCAGAACUCCUUAUCAUGCUCAUCACCUGGUCAUACCUCUUCUUCAGUAAGGAUAACUUGAAAACAUAUUCUGUUGCAUCAACAACAAUGGCACAGUUCUUCCCAUCUCGACCCAAGCAAUGUAUGGUGUUUCCAUACACUUUUGUUAUAUAUACAGGAGCGUCGAGGGUCCUGAUGAUUCUACUAUCCCCAUUAGGAAGGCAGUAUUUGCUGUGGUUCAAGGUUGUAUAUAUGAAGACGCCAUUGUCAUCCCUAGCUCCCCAACAAUAAUUCUCUGCUGCAGGUCAAAAAUAAUGACUCUGUCCUCUGCCCUGCACAGCAAGUUUCCAGUUCCAGCAUAAAAUAUUGCAUCAGCAACAAUCGGUAGGGCCUCCAAUUCCUCUUUUUGCCUCCUGCGCAGUAUCACCCCGACCAAAGCUAUCUUUGGGUAUAACGUAUAGUUCAUAAGACCCCCCUUCCAUAUCUGAACAUAUCAAAGCAGCAUUUUCUGUGGGGCUGUAAGAUAGUGUCUUUGCCCCUUGAUUCAAGUUGGAAGAACCACGAUCUUUAACAUAGUACAUUGAAUCACCGCUAACAGAAAAGGCAGGACGCUCCCUCUCCAAUUUAAAGACAAUCAUGCCACUAUCAUGGCCAGCAGCCAAGAGGUUCAUUUCUACUUGAAUAAAUUCCCAUCCUGCUUCCACUAAGUGCUUCCCCUAACUAACAAAAUAAGCAAUCUCUUCCCGUAGCACAUUUAGUCAUCCAUCUUAGCAUUCCAUCUCAUUACUAUCACAGAAAUGUCUUAAAUUUCAUUACUAUAUGCAGCAUUCAUUUCUCGAAUACAGAGAGGAUUGUGGUCGACGGCACGGUACACAGUGCGCCGGUGUUUGUACAGAAACAGAGCGCUGGAUUGUGGUCGCAGCCGCUCACUUUCUUGAAACCCACUCUCAAACCUUAGAACGCAGCACUCUCACUCUCUCAAAACCCACUCUGAAUAACACGGAUGCAACAACCCGCCCUCUCUCCCGCCGUCAGCGUCGGUUCGAAGCCGCUUUGUUUUCACCUAAACUCCAAAUCGCGCUCUCCCUCUCUCUCCCCAAAGAGAGCAUCACAGCUCAAUCCCCUCCCUUUCUCUCCCUCGAACCGUACAGCCCCAUGUGACUCUGUCUACGUGCAAACCCUCUCCUCAACCACUCGGAAUGACACCAACACCAGCCACCCACCCCCCAAGCGCAAUCGCAGAAAUCCUCCCAUAACGAACACCCUUGCCCCCAUCUCUCUCUGCAUAUCCCUGAAUCUCGUAGCCAUUGAAAUCCCGCCAUAUCUCUCUCUUCGGGCUUCAGUAGGAAAUGAGGGUUUGAGAAGGAAAUGGAAAAGGCCCUUCUUCCUUUUCCAUGAUUAUCAACACGUGUGCAUAGAGAGAGUCCAAAACGCUGUCCCUUCGCACAGUGCAAUUUCAUCCCCUACUCCCUCUCUGCAAGCAGGCCGCUGUCCAUUCGCAGCUCUCGUAUCUCUCCAAUCUGUCAGUCCUUCUGUCCUUCUUCGCCAACAACAACAGGCCUACCGAAGCCGAAGCAAAAGCCAAAAGCCCAGAUGCGGCGCUCUCGUCUCUCUGCAAUCUGUCAGUCCUUCUUACCUUCUUCUUCUUCGCCAACAACAACAGGCCUACCGAAGCCGAAGCAAAAGCCAAAAGCCCAGAUGCAGGCCAAACGCUUAAAACCGGUUUUUAAGGUGAUGGCAAAACCGUAAAUGUAACCAAAUUUACACAGUGGCAUAGACGUAAAUAUAUCAAAAGAACAGGCGGUGGCAAUUUUGUAAAUAAAAUGAAAUCCGGCCAAAUUCACUGUUCAGGUGAACAGUGCAAUUGGAUUUCUUACUUUAGAUUAAAGUAAUGAUCUAUUAAACUUCUUAAUGUCAGGAGAAAUUUUUCAUUGUUACGGAAACAUGAGGGGUAUAUCAAGUGUUUUUAUACAAGUGGUGAAAUUUUUUAUUUUUUAAAUUAUUAACUUUUUAAUACACAUAUCACACCGUUAGCAUAGUGACAAGUGGUAUAUCAUCCCGUAUUCCGAUCACACUAAAAAAUCUGUCUGAGUAUGGUGUAAGUCUGUGUUUUAAGAUUAAAAGCAAGAAGGAAAAGUUCGAUCAUAGUACAAAGACUUUAUCAACCUUCUAUACGUUUCUAGAAAACAAGAAAACAAUAUCUUCAAUUUCAUUUUUUCAGAAACCAAUAAAACGUUGAUAAGUUCUUGCUCCACCAUCUAUCUUUUCUUUCCUGUUUUUACUCAAAAUACACAGACUAUGCAGCCCUCACAAAAGUAUUUAAACGACGGAAAUUUUAUUUGAACUAAUAUUUUGUAUCUCAACAUCCAGCUUAUUUUUUAUACCCAUAUUGAAUUUGAUUUAUCUAUUAUUAUCUCUUUACACCCAACGUUAUUUCCAAAACAGCCCUUACUUAUCAAAACUCAACUCAAUCAAACUUCUUUUUACACCCAUAAAAAAUAAAACCCUAACCAGUCCAUCAUCUCCAUGGAGCAAAUCCCCUUCUUUCUCUUUAAAAAAUCCUUCCAUCUUCCAUGGUUGUCCUUCUGCACCCCAUCUACUCCUUUGUAGUCAUCAAAACUUCUUCCUCUUCCUUUUCUUCAUCAUUUGACAUCUCUAAAUUUCUAGAGCAUUAAUUAGCUUAAUAAUUGGUAUGUGUUCAAUCGAUUGGUUCAAUUUUUACGUAUUGAUUCCUUUUUCUUUUCAAUUAAAUGAGUUUUUGGUUAUAGUGUUUAAUAAGUUUGGUAUGUUUCAAUUAAAUGAGAAUCUUCUAGACUAUAUUCCUAUAUGUGGUAGAAAAAUGGGUACGUCUUUGGUAGAUUAAUGAAUAUUUUUAACCGUUGAUAUAUAUAUAUUUUUUUUUGUCGAAAUAUGCAUGAAACAUACACAUUUGUCCCUUCAUGCCACUUGGUUAUAAGCAAACAUCAUGCAUUUACUAAUAUUAUUCCAAGUCAUGCAUGAAACCUACACAUUUGUCCCUACAUCUAACUUACUAAGCAAUCUCUUCCCGUAGCACAUUUAGUCAUCCUCCCAUAACGGACACCCUUGCCCCCAUCUCUCUCUGCAAAUCCCUGAAUCUCGUAGCCAUCGAAAUCCCGCCAUAUCUCUCUAUUCGGGCUUCAGUAGGAAAUGAGGGUUUGAGAAGGAAAUGGAAUGGGCCCUUCUUCCUUUUCCACGAUUAUCAACACGUGUGCAUCAAGAGCAGUGGUAGAGAGAGUCCAAAACGCUGUCCAUUCGCACAGUGCAAUUUCAUCCGGACUUGGAUUGUCUGCUCUCUCAUUUCGGUGCCCUCUGUUUGUGUGGUCACGGUUAAGCCACGUCAACAUUUUAUAUUACUAUUUCUUUUUGUUUUAUUAUUUUUGUUGAUGCACAAAAUCAGCGAAGACUUUGGUACAACAGAAAGUGUCAGGUUUGUGACCUUCGCUUGGUUGUUUCGGUCACUAGUGAGGAUAAGUACGUAAAUGAAUAGAGACAGAGAAGCAAACACAGGAUGUACGUGGUUCACCCAGAUUGGCUACGUCCACGGAGUAGAGGAGUUCUUAUUAGUAGUGAAGGGCUUACACAAGUACAAAGGAUCAAGCUCUCAAUUUAGUGAGUUCUUGUGAAUGAUUUAACACAAAUGGCAUUAGCCAAUAUUGUGGGGGAAUGACCCCUAUUUAUAGAAAAACUUGUAGCUUUGUCACAUUGACAUGUGUCAUGUUAUGAUUGGUUCUUGAUGUCGACACGUGCUGCGCUCUGAUUGGCUUCUAAUCUUGACACGUGUCGAGUAAUGAUUGGCCUCCUGGUCGGAGGGGAACUCUUCUGGGUCCUUGACAGUAUAGCGUUGGCCGGUGCUCGGUAGUUUCGGGAUUGGUCAAGUAUGGUACAAACAGUGCUCCCCUAAGUUCCCGAGUGAGGGAAACUCCUCGGUUGGGGACUUGCAAGAUCCAAUCCCUUGAGUAAUCACGAAACUUCUAAGUACCGAAGUGUGGUCUGAUCUUUAUCUGCCCUUCUCUGGAAGUACCUUUCCUCCAUCCGGGAAUGGUGUAUUUAGCUGAUGUUGACGCACAAGGUAAUGUAUCAAUUUCACUUGAAGCUUAGUUGUAGUUUCGGGCUUAGUCAAGUGUGAUACAAACCCUAUAGUAGGAGUCCCCCAAGUCGCCGAGCUAGGAGAUCUGCCGAAAGAGGUGACAGACAAGGUAAGCAGUCAAACUUCCAAGUAAGCAACCCAGGAUCAGAGGUUUGACUUCGGCUUCCGGUUGAUUGUUCUCCUUCUCCUUGUCUCUCAUUCAACUGCCAGGAUAAGGAGAAGCAAAUGGAUAAGAGAUGAUAUGAGAUACUUUUGCUUUUGAAGAAGUAACUUUCCACAGGCUUAUUCUUGAACUGUGCUGGAGGGUUUUUCUGGUGCCCUUCAGAGAGUAUAAGGCCGACUCAAAAAUUUGAGGGUCAAAACAAGUCCAUCAAAUCUAGAGUACGUUCGACCUUGAUGAUAUGGGAUACUUUUGCUGUUGACGGAAUAAUGAAUGUGGUAUGGAAAGGUGUCGUGCUGUAGUGAUCUGUUUCAGCUCACCGUUGAACCUUCUGCUUCAAUCUUUUGCAUGGCAGAAGUGGUGUGCAACCUUUGCAUUUAAAUGGUCCUUCAGAACAUUCCUUCAUAGUGACUCAUCCACACUUGGCAGCUUCAGUGUAAAGAGCCAAUAUCUGAUCAACUGUCAUGAGGUAUUUGCCGGUGGAAUUCGUGACCUUGAUAGCAGUUGAGGAUGAGUACUCGAGAGCAAUGCUAAGUAAGCAACCAGGCAAAGGCUCCAGGCAGUCAGUUCCAAAUUGGAGGUUUGAUUUCAGGUUCCGACUGACUGCUCUCUUUCUCCUUGUCCUGCAGGUGUGGACAAGGACAAAGACAAAGAUAGGGAGAAAGCAUGAUAUGGGAUACUCUUGCUUCGACCCUGAUGAUAUGAGAUACUCUUGUUCUUGGUGUGGCUUAUUUGCUGAGGUAUUAUCGGGGGGAAAUAAAGCUGAGUAUUUCGAGAGGUUAUGUUGAGGGUGCCUUUUCGAAUGCGAGAAAGGGUUAAGCAUUUUUGCAGGUUUGCCUGUCCGUUGAGGAGGGAGGUCAAUGUAUAUAGGGAUUUCCCAAUAACAAGUAGUAAUGAUAUUCCUUUACCCUUCUUGGUCACAGCAAUGUAGUGGGAGCUACCAGCUUCACGUGUUUUAAUUUUGUCAGAGCACUUUGAAAAAGUGGUAUGUGGUAUCUGGAAAGCUGAUGUUACGUGUGAAGAUUACAGACAAGCUUUAUCUAAGGAAAUCUGGCUCUCGAAGUUCUGAGAGUUGUGCCUCUUCGGUUUUCGAACAAGCAAUCCCGUCGAGGAUCUGACUCUCGAGAUUCGGAAAGCGGUGCUACUCCGGUUUUUUGAGAAAGUAAUUAUGUUGGGAGUCUUUUCUCGAAUGUGAGUAAAGGUUGGACGUUCUUGCCAACCUGUCUUGCCGCAAAACACGGAGGUCGACACACAUAGGGACUUUCCAGUUGUCAAGCAGUGGUGCUGUUCCUUUACCCUUAUGGGUAAUAGUAGGGUAGCUGGAACUUCGAAAUUCUCGUGCCUAAACUUUGUCAGAGAUCUUUGACAAAGUUAUAUGUGGUACCCGAGGAGUUGAUGGUGCAUAUGGAGAGCGGUGAUUGAACAGUAAGAUUCACGUGCUUUUUACUUCACCAGAAAUCUUCGACAGAUUGCCCGUAAUUUUCGCAAAGCUGAUUGUGCAUGUGACAGGUGCUGACGAGGCUGAAAAAGCAGGUGCUUCUUCGAUUUCUGAGAUCGGCCCUCGUGGUCUCUGAGCAGCCCAGCUUUUGAGAAAGCAAACGCCUCUUCGAUUUCUGAGAUCGGCCCUCGUGGUCUCUGAGCAGCCCAGCUUUUGAGAAAGCAAACGCCUCUUCGAUUUCUGAAGCUCCGUCGAGUGCAGAUUUUUAUAGAGGCUGGCAUUAAGUUCCACAGCACACCUGAAUCUCUACCAGUAGAAGCUCAUUUCUUGCACUUCUAAGAUCUUGAUUUGUCUGACCUCUUCCUUCUUCAACACAUUUGAAAAUGUCUGGACCCUCCGACCGUCGUUUUGACCUGAACCUUGGAGAAGAGACAGCCACGCCUUCUCCAGACAACAUAUGGCGCCCAUCCUUCAUAUCCCCUACUGGUCCUCUUACCGUUGGGGAUUCUGUGAUGAAGAAUGAUAUGACCGCUGCAGUGGUGGUGGCCAGGAACCUUCUCACUCCCAAAGAUAACAGACUACUUUCCAAACGGUCUGAUGAGUUGGCUGUUAAGGACUCUCUGGCUCUUAGUGUUCAGUGUGCAGGUUCUGUGUCUAAUAUGGCCCAACGCCUAUUUGCUAGAACCCGCCAAGUUGAAUCAUUGGCUGCUGAAGUGAUGAGUCUCAAACAGGAGAUUAGAGGGCUCAAGCAUGAGAAUAAGCAGUUGCACCGGCUCGCCCAUGACUAUGCUACAAACAUGAAGAGGAAGCUUGACCAGAUGAAGGAAUCUGAUGGUAAGGUUUUACUUGAUCAUCAGCGGUUUGUGGGUUUGUUCCAAAGGCAUUUAUUGCCUUCGUCCUCUGGGGCUGUACCUGGUAAUGAAGCUUCAAAUGAUGAACCUCCAAUGCCUCCUCCUUCUGGGGUUUUGUCAAGUACUGAGGCUCCGGAUAACCACCCUCCGGUGCUUUCUCUUUCUGGGGCUCUACCGACUGCUGAGACUUCCCCUAAGCAACCUUUGUGAAGGCUCCCUUUUUGUUUGUUUAUUUUGACUCAUGUAUAUGUACAUAUUUGUGGCUUAUCGAAAAUAUUAAUAAAUAAGCUUUGCUUCAUUUCAAAUAUAUUGUGUUAAAUACACCAAAGCCUUCUUCAUAAAGUUCUUUGAAUUUUUGCUUUUGUUGAAACCUGUAUUGUUGAAGCUUUGUGAGUGAAGCAUGUAGUUUGAGGUAGUGUUCCCUUAAUUUCCCGAGUGAGGGAAAACUUCUCGGUUGGAGACUUGAAAAAUCCAAGUCACUGAGUGGUUGUGAGACUGCCGAGUAUUAAGGUGCAGUAGCAUAUGGUGGGAGUCCCCCAAGUCUUCAGGCGAAGAGAGUUGCCGAAUGAGGUGUCUCGCUUGUUACUAAUUUGUCAAAGUAACGAAUCCUUGUUUCGAUGUCACACAUUCGCAUAUGCCUUAUCUAAAAAUAUUUCCAACUUUUGUGUGUUUGAUGCUGCAUGCUAUUGACUAGACAAGAUCAAGUGCAAUUAGUAGCUUUUCUCUCUUUUUCAUCUUUUCUUCGGUGGAAUUGCUUUUCGUUUCCACUAAUCAGCCUGAGUGGAUGCAAGAUAACACCAUUCUCUAUAGCUCAGAUCGCAAAGUCGUCUUCAUGAAAGUUGUUCCUUAUCUUGUGAACUACAAAAUCUCCAAAUUUGAGAUCCAUCGGAGUAGUACAACUCCAGAAAUUCAGGUAUGAUGAGUAACUGUUCAUCAAUUUUCUGUUAACCCGUCAGACUUGUUGUGAGCUUCUAAACUCCAUUUUCUCUUGCUCAGAUCAGCAUGCUUUCUUCAUUGAAGUUGUGCCUCAUCGUCUCUUUCAUAACAUAUCAAAAAUUCAGAAUGAACUAAUGGUUAAAUAUUUCCAGAUCUUCGAAACAUCAUAGCAGCUUCGAAAUCUGCAAGAAUCCGACUGUCAUGUUUGGAGCUUCAACACUUUAAUUUCCGUCGCUCAAACAGAAAUGGUUCCUUCUUGAAAGUUGUUCAUAUGCUCAAAAACUAUAGGGUGUCCAAAAUUCAGCUCCAUUGGAGAAGAGCAGAGGUUGCAGAAAUUUGAUAGAUGAAAGGAGGCGGAAGAGGGAGAGAGAGAAAAAGUCUCUUGGGUUGGAUUUCUAUUUUGGGGCAGAUUCCAAGUUUUGUAGCACCUUCAUUAUUGAUGAAUUGCUUGUACUUUUGUCCAUUAUGAAACUUGGGACUUUGGCUUGUUGUUGGAUCUAUUAUAAUAUGUUUGGAAACAUAUACAUAAUUGCUUGUUUGGUUAUGACAGGGAUGUUGUGGGUGUAGAACAAAACAAAUGUUUGUGUUGACCUGUGUUUUUGUACAAGUUCAAGGGCAUCUUGGGUUUUGUGAACAAAAUUUGUUUAUUUGGAGCAAGGUUUUGUGUUGAAGCUUUGUAGGUGAAGCUUUGGUGUUGAAGCUUUCUAGGUGAAGCUUUGAUGGUGAAGCUUUCUGGGUGAAGCUUUUUUAGGUGAAGCUGUUUGGGUGAAGCUUUUUGGAGGUGAAGUUUUUUUUUGGGUGAAGCUUUUUUAGGUGAAGCUUUUUGGGUGAAACUUUUUGGAUGAAGCUUUUUGGGUGAAGUUUUGGAGGUGAAGCUUUUCGGGUGAAGCUUUUUGAAUGAAGCUGUUUUUUUUUUUUUUUUUUUUUUUUUUUGGCGCUUGACACGGUCUUCAUUUGCUUGUUUUGUAGUGACUGUGGAAGACGGAUUGCUUUCUGAUUGAGAAGGGUUCCGGCAUCGCUUUGCACCAUCUUCAUGUGGGUAAUAUAGGAACUUCCUUAUGUUUUGAUCAUGCAUGUAGUGAUAGAAUUUGUUUCUUCUUAUUGUAGAUGUCAGAGCCUAGAAGUUCUAGUGAUGAGGGCUCUUCUAGCUUUAGCUCUAAGUCUGAGUCUGCAAUGUCGGAGUCUUCAGGGUCUUUGUUAGAGUCCUGUACUAGAGAAACAUUGGAUGAUCUUCCCAACCGUCAAACUUUAGCUAUUGCUAGUUCUUCCUCCAUGGCGUUGGGUGAGGGGGUUUCUCUCCUGAUAUGUCUUUGCCUCGGCGGAGGCAUGGUUAUAAGCCUGCGCCAUCACCUCAGAGUAAGUCUUCCAAGUAUUGGCAUUGAUCAUGUAUUUAAAGAAACAAUCACGUAGGCCUGCCGUGAAGGCUUUGAGGGCAGUCUUGUCGUCUGCCUCGGCACACCGGGAGUAUUCAUGGCUGAAGCGGCCAGCAUACAUACGUAAUGACUCGUCUGGCCUCUGGCGGAUAGUGUACAGGUCAUCUGCAGAGUGCAAGCGAUCGGUUUGGAAAAUGUGUUGGGAAACAAAUAGUUUCCUCAAUUCCUCAAAUGAGUCUACCGUCUCAGGUGUAAGACGACAAUACCAAUUUAGAGAUCCGCCAGAGAGGGUGGAGGGGAAGAGAAGACAUCGCUCUUCGUCGGUGUGCAUCCGGUAUGCCAUGGUGGACUCAAAGAGGUUAAGGUGCUCAAUCGGGUCCUCUUUUCCAGUAUAAAGUUGCAAGCCAAGCCUCUGCUUUGUCUUUGCUUGAAGGGGGGUGUUGAGGAUCCUCCUUGUAAGAGGGCCAGGCCUGGGUUGGUUCCAGUCAGGUAUUUCAGCCUGACGUUCAGCCUUCAACUUGUUUACUUCCUCAAGAAGUUGUAGGACAAGGGGGUCCUGAGCGGAGUUAUGUGCCACUGGAGCUUUCUUUCGUAAAUCUCCAUCUCCUCUUAGAAUUAGGAAGGUUUGAUCAAGGGCAUGUGAUUUUUCCCUGGACUCGCUGUACUGGCUUCCAGGGUAUGUCUGUCGGAACACCUCUGAGUCCCCUGUACCCUCAUGUCUCUCUAGGACUUGUUGCACCUUCCCCAAGUUGGUGGCCGGCUCGGGCCGUGGCAGGGGACCGAGUCUCUCAGAAAUCCUUGGGUCAUUGAUCUUUGAGCUUAUAUGGAUGGAAUUCUCUCGACGUUGCUUCAGGAAAUCCCGACAAUCGCGAAAAGACGGCUUUCGAUCCUUCUGCCCCUUCAGCAAAGAGGUGUCUCCCUCCGCUUCUCAUGGUUCGGGUCGAAGCAACUGGGUUAAGAGAAGCCUCAUGUUGAUUAUCAAAUCGAGGGGUAAUUUGUUCCCUAUCAGGGAUAUCUAUGUCGAAUGCAUGUGACCCUCCAUGUUGGAGGGCACCCAGUUGAUGGUUGACUUCCACGGGGGCAACAAGCUCGCGUGUCUGAGCUUGCCUAGCUUCGUGGAGUGUCUCGAAGAGCUUCUCAUAUUGCUCCUGGAGGACCUCAUUCCUCAUUGCUAUCUUGUUGUUCUGAGCUUCCAACUCAUCGACUUUAGCUUGAAGAAGAACUCGUUUUCCUUCCUUCUUUCGUUGUUUCGCACUAUGUGCAAGGGGGUGUCAUUCUGUGUGCUGUGGCUUCCUUCGCUUCCCAUGCUGGAGAGGGAUGCCUGAUCAAAAGAAAGUGUACGAAUGAUAGAAACCAGCUUGACACAGCUGAAGAGAGUAGGAAUAAGUGUCGUUUCCCACAGACGGCGCCAAAUGUUGAUGCACAAAAUCAGCGAAGACUUUGGUACAACAGAAAGUGUCAGGUUUUGUGACCUUCGCUUGGUUGCUUCGGUCACUAGUGAGGAUAAGUACGUAAAUGAAUAGAGACAGAGAAGCAAAACACAGGAUGUACGUGGUUCACCCAGAUUGGCUACGUCCACGGAGUAGAGGAGUUCUUAUUAGUAGUGAAGGGCUUACACAAGUACAAAGGAUCAAGCUCUCAAUUUAGUGAGUUCUUGUGAAUGAUUUAACACAAAUGGCAUUAGCCAAUAUUGUGGGGGAAUGACCCCUAUUUAUAGAAAAACUUGUAGCUUUGUCACAUUGACAUGUGUCAUGUUAUGAUUGGUUCUUGAUGUCGACACGUGCUGCGCUCUGAUUGGCUUCUAAUCUUGACACGUGUCGAGUAGUGAUUGGCCUCCUGGUCGGAGGGGAACUCUUCUGGGUCCUUGACAGUAUAGCGUUGGCCGGUGCUCGGUAGUUUCGGGAUUGAUCAAGUAUGGUACAAACAAUUUUUAUAAAAAAUAUAUAUAAAAUAUUGACGUGGAUUAACCGUGACCACACAAAACAGGAGGGCACGGGAAGAGCACCGAAAUGGGAGGGCAGACAAUCCAAGUCCAUUUCAUCCCCUACUCUCUCUCUGCAAGUAGGGCCGCUGUCCAUUCGCAGCUCUCAUCUCUCUCCAAUCUGUCAGUCCUUCUGUCCUUCUUCACCAACAACAACAGGCCUACAGAAGCCGAAGCAAAAGCCAAAAGCCCAGAUGCAGCCCAAACGCUCAAAACCGUUUUUUAAGGUGAUGGAAAAACCGUAAAUGUAACCAAAUUUACAGUGGCAUAGACGUAAAUAUAUCAAAAGAACAGGCGGUGGCAAUUUUGUAAAUAAAAUUAAAUCCGGCCAAAUUCACUGUUCAGGUGAACAGUGCAAUUGGAUUUCUUACUUUAGACUAAAGUAAUGAUCUAUUAAACUUCUUAAUGUGAGGAGAAAUUUUUCAUUGUUACGGAAACAUGAGGGGUACAUCAAGUGUUUUUAUACAAGUGGUGAAAAAUUUUAUUUUUUAAGUUAUUGACUUUUUAAUACACAUAUCACACCAUUAGCAUAGUGACAAGUGGUGUAUCAUCCCGUAUUCCGAUCACACUAAAAAAUAUGUCUGAGAACGGUGUAAGUCUGUGUUUUAAGAUUAAAAACAAGAAGGAAAAGUUAGAUAGUAGUACUAAGACCUUAUCAACCUUCUAUACGUUUCUAGAAAAUAAGAAAACAAUAUCUUCAAUUACAUUUUUUUAGAAACCAAUAAAACGUUGUUCUUGCUCCACCAUCUAUCUUUUCUUUCCUGUUUUUACUCAAAAUACACAGACUAUGCAGCCCUCACAAAAGUAUUUAAACAACGAAAAUUUUAUUUGAACUCAUAUUUUGUAUCUCAACAUCCAGCUUAUUUUUUAUACCCAUAUUGUAUUUGAUUUAUCUAUCAUUAUCUCUUUACACCCAACGUUAUUUCCAAAACAGCCCUUACUUUUCAAAACUCAACUCAAUCAAACUUCUUUUUACACCCAUAAAAAAUAAAACCCUAACCAGUCCAUCAUCUCCAUGGAGCAAAUCCCCUUCUCUCUCUUUAAAAAAUCCUUCCAUCUCCCAUGGUUGUCAUUCUGCACCCCAUCUACUCCUUUGUAGUCAUCAAAACCUCUUCCUCUUCCUUUUCUUCAUCAUUUGACAUCUCUAAAUUUCUAGAGCAUUAAUUAGCUUAAUAAUUGGUAUGUGUUCAAUCGAUUGGUUCAAUUUUUACGUAUUGAUUCCUUUUUCUUUUCAAUUAAAUGAGCUUUUGGUUAUAGUGUUUAAUGAGUUUGGUAUGUUUCAAUUAAAUGAGAAUCUUCUAGACUCAAUAUUCAUAUAUGUGGUAGAAAAAUGGGUACGUCCAUGAUAACUUUUGGUAGAUUAAUGAAUAUUUUUAACCGUUGAUAUUUUUUUUUUGUCGAAAUAUGCAUGAAACAUACACAUUUGUCCCUUCAUGCCACUUGGUUAUAAGCAAACAUCAUGCAUUUACUAAUACUAUUCAAAGUCAUGCAUGAAACCUACACAUUUGUCCCUACAUCUAACUUACUAAUUUUAUCGCUUGACUUAAAAAAAAUCGAAAUGUAUGUAGUGGAUAAACACAAUCUCAAACUUUAAUUGAACUCACAUAACAACGAUAAAUAAAGGCAUUAUCACAACUUAGGGGUGGUGAGCAAUCCCAUUAAAAUAGAACUUAAUAUAUACAUAUUAAAAACAAAAACAAAUUGAUGCAAAAUCUCCCGACGACUAAUACUAUUCCAAGUCGUGCAUGAAACAUACACAUGUCCCUUCAUGCCACUUGAUUAUAAGCAAACAUGCAUGAAACCUACACAUUUGUCCCUUAAUGCCACUUGAUUAUAAGCAAACAUCAUGCAUGCACAAGUUAUUUACUAAUUAGUAUUACUACUAUUCAGCUAUCAUGACCCUUUUUUUUUUUGUUACUCAUACGCCCAAGACAUUGUAAACGAUGGAAAUUUUAUUUGAACCCAUAUUUUGUAUCUCAACAUCCAGCUUAUUUUUUAUACCCAUAUUGUAUUUGAUUUAUCUAUCAUUAUCUCUUUACACCCAACGUUAUUUCCAAAACAGCCCUUACUUAUCAAAACUCAACUCAAUCAAACUUCUUUUUUUCUUUUUACACCCAUAAAAAAUAAAAACCCUAACCAGUCCAUCAUCUCCAUGGAGCAAAUCCCCUUCUCUCUCUUUAAAAAAUCCUUCCAUCUCCCAUGGUUGUCAUUCUGCACCCCAUCUACUCCUUUGUAGUCAUCAAAACCUCUUCCUCUUCCUUUUCUUCAUCAUUUGACAUCUCUAAAUUUCUAGAGCAUUAAUUAGCUUAAUAAUUGGUAUGUGUUCAAUCGAUUGGUUCAAUAUUUACGUAUUGAUUCCUUUUUCUUUUCAAUUAAAUGAGCUUUUGGUUAUAGUGUUUAAUGAGUUUGGUAUGUUUCAAUUAAAUGAGAAUCUUCUAGACUCAAUAUUCAUAUAUGUGGUAGAAAAAUGGGUACGUCCAUGAUAACUUUUGGUAGAUUAAUGAAUAUUUUUAACCGUUGAUAUUUAUUUUUUUGUCGAAAUAUGCAUGAAACAUACACAUUUGUCCCUUCAUGCCACUUGGUUAUAAGCAAACAUCAUGCAUUUACUAAUACUAUUCAAAGUCAUGCAUGAAACCUACACAUUUGUCCCUACAUCUAACUUACUAAUUUUAUCGCUUGACUUAAAAAAAAUCGAAAUGUAUGUAGUGGAUAAACACAAUCUCAAACUUUAAUUGAACUCACAUAACAACGAUAAAAUAAAGGCAUUAUCACAACUUAGGGGUGGUGAGCAAUCCCAUUAAAAUAGAACUUAAUAUAUACAUAUUAAAAACAAAAAAACAAAUUGAUGCAAAAUCUCCCGACGACUAAUACUAUUCCAAGUCGUGCAUGAAACAUACACAUGUCCCUUCAUGCCACUUGAUUAUAAGCAAACAUGCAUGAAACCUACACAUUUGUCCCUUAAUGCCACUUGAUUAUAAGCAAACAUCAUGCAUGCACAAGUUAUUUACUAAUUAGUAUUACUACUAUUCAGCUAUCAUGACCCUAUUUUUUUUGUUACUCAUACGCCCAAGACAUUGUAAACGAUGAAAAAUUUUAUUUGAACCCAUAUUUUGUAUCUCAACAUCCAGCUUAUUUUUUAUACCCAUAUUGUAUUUGAUUUAUCUAUCAUUAUCUCUUUACACCCAACGUUAUUUCCAAAACAGCCCUUACUUUUCAAAACUCAACUCAAUCAAACUUCUUUUUACACCCAUAAAAAAUAAAACCCUAACCAGUCCAUCAUCUCCAUGGAGCAAAUCCCCUUCUCUCUCUUUAAAAAAUCCUUCCAUCUCCCAUGGUUGUCAUUCUGCACCCCAUCUACUCCUUUGUAGUCAUCAAAACCUCUUCCUCUUCCUUUUCUUCAUCAUUUGACAUCUCUAAAUUUCUAGAGCAUUAAUUAGCUUAAUAAUUGGUAUGUGUUCAAUCGAUUGGUUCAAUUUUUACGUAUUGAUUCCUUUUUCUUUUCAAUUAAAUGAGCUUUUGGUUAUAGUGUUUAAUGUGUUUGGUAUGUUUCAAUUAAAUGAGAAUCUUCUAGACUCAAUAUUCAUAUAUGUGGUAGAAAAAUGGGUACGUCCAUGAUAACUUUUGGUAGAUUAAUGAAUAUUUUUAACCGUUGAUAUUUUUUUUUUUGUCGAAAUAUGCAUGAAACAUACACAUUUGUCCCUUCAUGACACUUGGUUAUAAGCAAACAUCAUGCAUUUACUAAUACUAUUCCAAGUCAUGCAUGAAACCUACACAUUUGUCCCUACAUCUAACUUACUAAUGUUAUCGCUUGACUUAAAAAAAAUCGAAAUGUAUGUAGUGGAUAAACACAAUCUCAAACUUUAAUUGAACUCACAUAACAACGAUAAAUAAAGGCAUUAUCACAACUUAGGGGUGGUGAGCAAUCCCAUUAAAAUAGAACUUAAUAUAUACAUAUUAAAAACAAAAACAAAUUGAUGCAAAAUCUCCCGACGACUAAUACUAUUCCAAGUCGUGCAUGAAACAUACACAUGUCCCUUCAUGCCACUUGAUUAUAAGCAAACAUGCAUGAAACCUACACAUUUGUCCCUUAAUGCCACUUGAUUAUAAGCAAACAUCAUGCAUGCACAAGUUAUUUACUAAUUAGUAUUACUACUAUUCAGCUAUCAUGACCCUAUUUUUUUUGUUACUCAUACGCCCAAGACAUUGUAAACGAUGAAAAAUUUUAUUUGAACCCAUAUUUUGUAUCUCAACAUCCAGCUUAUUUUUUAUACCCAUAUUGUAUUUGAUUUAUCUAUCAUUAUCUCUUUACACCCAACGUUAUUUCCAAAACAGCCCUUACUUUUCAAAACUCAACUCAAUCAAACUUCUUUUUACACCCAUAAAAAAUAAAACCCUAACCAGUCCAUCAUCUCCAUGGAGCAAAUCCCCUUCUCUCUCUUUUAAAAAAUCCUUCCAUCUCCCAUGGUUGUCAUUCUGCACCCCAUCUACUCCUUUGUAGUCAUCAAAACCUCUUCCUCUUCCUUUUCUUCAUCAUUUGACAUCUCUAAAUUUCUAGAGCAUUAAUUAGCUUAAUAAUUGGUAUGUGUUCAAUCGAUUGGUUCAAUUUUUACGUAUUGAUUCCUUUUUCUUUUCAAUUAAAUGAGCUUUUGGUUAUAGUGUUUAAUGUGUUUGGUAUGUUUCAAUUAAAUGAGAAUCUUCUAGACUCAAUAUUCAUAUAUGUGGUAGAAAAAUGGGUACGUCCAUGAUAACUUUUGGUAGAUUAAUGAAUAUUUUUAACCGUUGAUAUUUUUUUUUUGUCGAAAUAUGCAUGAAACAUACACAUUUGUCCCUUCAUGACACUUGGUUAUAAGCAAACAUCAUGCAUUUACUAAUACUAUUCCAAGUCAUGCAUGAAACCUACACAUUUGUCCCUACAUCUAACUUACUAAUGUUAUCGCUUGACUUAAAAAAAAUCGAAAUGUAUGUAGUGGAUAAACACAAUCUCAAACUUUAAUUGAACUCACAUAACAACGAUAAAUAAAGGCAUUAUCACAACUUAGGGGUGGUGAGCAAUCCCAUUAAAAUAGAACUUAAUAUAUACAUAUUAAAAACAAAAACAAAUUGAUGCAAAAUCUCCCGACGACUAAUACUAUUCCAAGUCGUGCAUGAAACAUACACAUGUCCCUUCAUGCCACUUGAUUAUAAGCAAACAUGCAUGAAACCUACACAUUUGUCCCCUAAUGCCACUUGAUUAUAAGCAAACAUCAUGCAUGCACAAGUUAUUUACUAAUUAGUAUUACUACUAUUCAGCUAUCAUGACCCUUUUUUUUUUUGUUACUCAUACUCCCAAGACAUUGUAAACGAUGGAAAUUUUAUUUGAACCCAUAUUUUGUAUCUCAACAUCCAGCUUAUUUUUUAUACCCAUAUUGUAUUUGAUUUAUCUAUCAUUAUCUCUUUACACCCAACGUUAUUUCCAAAACAGCCCUUACAAAACUCAACUCAAUCAAACUUCUUUUUACACCCAUAAAAAAUAAAACCCUAACCAGUCCAUCAUCUCCAUGGAGCAAAUCCCCUUCUCUCUCUUUAAAAAACUCUUCCAUCUUCCAUGGUUGUCAUUCUGCACCCCAUCUACUCCUUUGUAGUCAUCAAAACCUCUUCCUCUUCCUUUUCUUCAUCAUUUGACAUCUCUAAAUUUCUAGAGCAUUAAUUAGCUUAGUAAUUGGUAUGUGUUCAAUCGAUUGGUUCAAUUUUUACGUAUUGAUUCCUUUUUCUUUUUAAUUAAAUGAGCUUUUGGUUAUAGUGUUUAAUAAGUUUGGUAUGUUUCAAUUAAAUGAGAAUCUUCUAGACUCUAUAUUCCUAUAUGUGGUAGAAAAAUGAAUACGUCCAAGAUAACUUUUGGUAGAUUAAUGAAUAUUUUUAACCGUUGAUAUAUAUAUAUAUAUAUAUAUAUAUAUAUAUAUAUAUUGUCGAAAUAUGCAUGAAACAUACACAUUUGUCCCUUCAUGCCACUUGGUUAUAAGCAAACAUCAUGCAUUUACUAAUACUAUUCCAAGUCAUGCGUGAAACCUCCACAUUUGUCCCUACAUCUAACUUACUAAUGCUAUCGCUUGACUUAAAAAAAAAAUAAAAAAUCGAAAUGUAUGUAGUGGAAAAACACAAUCUCAAACUUUAAUUGAACUCACAUAACAACGAUAAAUAAAGGCAUUAUCACAACUUAGGGGUGGUGAGCAAUCCCAUUAAAAUAGAACGUAAUAUAUACAUAUUAAAAACAAAAACAAAUUGAUGCAAAAUCUCCCGACGACUAAUACUAUUCCAAGUCAUGCAUGAAACAUACACAUGUCCCUUCAUGCCACUUGAUUAUAAGCAAACAUGCAUGAAACCUACACAUUUGUCCCUUCACGCCACUUGAUUACAAGCAAACAUCAUGCAUGCACAAGUUAUUUACUAAUUAGUAUUACUACUAUUCAGCUAUCAUGACCUUUUUUUUUCUGUUACUCAUACGCCCAAGACUUUGUAAAUAAUGUUGAUUAUUCAAUACGAAUCAACAACUAGUUGCACAGGGUCACAAUCAAUGAUACUCCCAACUUGAUAAAGAAAGAAAAACAAGGAAAUCCACUUCCAAACUAAAAUAAAAUGUAUAUAAAUAUAGAAAAUUGUUAUUAUCACUCCAAAAAUCUCAUUUCGCACUCCAAACUUUCUAUAAUUAGAAAGAAAAAUACACUUGUGCAAAGUGUAAAAUGAGAUUAUUUGAGUGCUAAUAACAGUUCCCUAAAUAUGUCUUAACAAAUAUUGUAUGUGGCAUUGACUUAGACUUUCGCGAAUAGACUUAUAAUUUCUAGUAUCUAAUAAAUAUCCAGAUUAAAAAUAUUCAUCGAUCUACAAAAUUUUCUCAUGGAGGUACCCAUUUUUUUGCCACAGAUACCAAUAUAGAGGCUAAAAGACAAUACGAUAUUAAAUUCAUAUGUGGUCAAGAUAUUUAUGAAUUUAAUUAUUAAAAUGUAUAAGCUCAAUUAUACAUUCAAGGUAGAUCAAUUCCCGAAGUUUUAGUCAACAAUAAAACUGCUUACCUAUGAGUUCACCUAUAAAACUUGCAAAAGCGAUAUACUUUUUAACCACAGUUCUAUGUAUUGUGAAUUGUUGUCCUUAAGUUUUGUGGCAUAUAGAGGCUAAAAGAUACUACGAUAUUAAAUCCAUAUAUGGUCGAAAUAUUUAUCAUUUUAAUCAUUAAAAUGCAUAAACUCAAUUACACAUCCAGGUUAGAUCAAUUCCCGAAGUUUUGCUCCACAAUAAAAACCGCUUAGCUAUGAGUUCGCCUAUAAAACAUGCAAAGGCGAUAUACUUUUUAGCCACAGUUCAAUGUAAUGUGAAUUAUUGUUCGCAACUUUUGUAUCUAAUAAAUAUCCACGGUUAAAAAUAUUCAUUGAUCUAUUAGAAGUUAUCAUGGACGUACCCAUUUUUCUACUACAUAUAGGAAUAUAAAGGCUAGAAGAUUCUCAUUUAAUUGAAACAUACCAAACUCAUUAAACACUCUAAUCAUAAGCUCAUACCGAUUAUUAAGCUAAUUAGUGCUCUAGAUAUUUAGAGAUGUCAAAUGAUGAAGAAAAGGAAGAGGGAGAGGUUUGGAUGACCACGGAGGAGUAAAUGGGGGUGCGGAAUGACAACCAUGGGAGAUGGAAGGAUUUUUUAAAGAGAGAGAGAAGGGGAUUUGCUCUAUGGAAAGAUGAUGGACUGGGUAGGGUUUUAUUUUUUAUUUUUAAGUAGAUUGAGUUGGGUGUAAAAAGAAGUUUGAUUAAGUUGAGUAAGGACGGUUUCGGAAAUGAUGUUGGGUGUAAAUAGAUAAUGAUAGAUAAAUCAAAUACAAUAUGGAUAUAAAAAGUAAGUUGGGUGUUGAGAUACAAAAUAUGGGUUCAAAUAAAAUUUCCCUUUCAACAACUAGUUUCUUAAAAAAAGAACAGUAAUGCUAUUCUUACCAUGUUUUUAUAUCACAUUUAUAUAUCACCUUAUGUGUCAUUUGAUGUGGACAACACAUCAUUUAAAUUGGAAUUUAAUUUAAAUUAAAAAUCAUUCAAUAAAUCAAUAAUUAAAAUAAAAGCUGGAAUUAAAUGGUGAUUGUGGUAUACGAGGAGUCUUCUCCUUCCUUCCCCAUUCAAUCCUGCUUCUUCUCCCGUUUCUUCUUCAACACCAGUUCUUUCACGCCAUAAUUUUUUCACUCCCCUAUCUGGAUUAUUAGUACGCAUCUAUCAUUUUUUUUUCAAUGAAUUUAAUUUUUUUUGUCUGUUUAUUUCUUCUUCUUUCUCUCAAUCUCCAUUGUGUAGCAAGAUAAAUUCUUCUGCGGGUCUUGAUCAGAUUCGACGUUAGUGGUGUCGUGGUGAGGGAUGAAGGUUUCUUGACGAUACGUACUUGAGAUUACUUUAAUUUGAUUAUAAGUAGGAACAAGAUGGAGUCCUUAAUGAUUCAAAGUGUUAAAUCUUCAACCCCCAGUAUCAUAUUUUUCUAUGAACAAAAAGGUUUAGGUAAAUAGUCCAAUGGAGAUCGAGAGAAAGAAGAAUAAUAAACUGACUACAAAAAUGUAAAUUCAUUGAAAAAUAAUGGUAAAUGCUUACCAAUAAUCUAAAUAGGGGAGCGUUGAUGAACCUUUGCCGUAUGAGAAUUAGUUGAGAUUGUGGUAGUCCACACUAACGUAAAAAAAACUGGAGCGAAAAAAUAUGGCGUGAAAGAACUGGCGGAAGAAGAAACGGGAGAAGAAGCAUGAUUGAAUGGGGAAGGAAGGAGAAGAUUCCUCGUAUGCCACAAUCACCAUUUAAUUCCAGCUUUUGUUUUAAUUAUUGAUUAUAAAAACAUGGUAAGAGUAUCAUUAUUGAAAAAAGAAAGAAAAUAAUCAAUAAAUUCACUUCAGGUGUAAAUACAUAGAUUCACAUCGCUUUAUUUAUUUAUUUAUUUGUAUAUUCCAAGUUGAUUAAGGUAAUUAAGUAAUCUUUCUUGACUUAACUUUAAAUAAUUAAAUAAACUUGGCUUGACUUUGCACACUCCCCUCGCUUAUUGACUAAUGACUCAGUACUAAGUCUUUUUUUUUGUUUGGUCAGAACUCAGUAUUAAGUGAGAUCGAUAUUUUUGUGUGCUCGUCCUGGAAAUAAACAGGAGAAAGCCUAAUGGUGGCCUAAAACAAUAACAGACAAAUCAGUCAAGAUGAGGAACACAAAAUAUGCCACCAUGCGUUUUAAUCCCUUCCUUUUAUAUUAAUUCCUACAGAAGGCCAACCAUGCUCAAGAGGCAACGCGUAUCGACUAAUGACUAAUACCAAGUCAGGUGGAUGUUUUCUUGUGCAUUUCCUGGAAAUACAUGGGACAAAGCCUAAUCGUGGACUAAAACAAUAACAGACAAUUAAGAGUAGGACACAUUUUCCCCCAACCCAAAAUAUUCCACCACGCGUUUUAAUCCCUUCCAUAUAUAAUAUAUUCCUACAGAAGGCCAACCUUCUUAAUUAGCAGUUCCUUAAUUUCUUGGAUCCAUCACUUGCUUGGAUUUUAUUCUCUGCUACUGCUAGGAUCUGCUCGACACUUUUCAGUUAAUACCAUAUGGCGUUACAUUGGAGGAUGCAUAUUUUGCAUCUCUCUUUAGUAAUGGUGGUAGAAGUUACAAUUUUACUAGCAACUCCAACUCCAACAACAGCUCAAUCUCUCCUUCCGCCUCAGGCACUGCCUGGCUGCCCUGACCAUUGUGGUAAUCUCACAAUUCCAUACCCAUUUGGCAUAGGCGAUGGUUGCUACCUCGAAGACCGGUUUAACAUCACUUGUAACAUUUCCACUCAACAGCCAACAACACUUUGGAUGACGAGCGAUGUCAAAAUUACCAACAUAUCUCUUUAUAACGGUGAGCUCCAAAUACUACAGUUCGCAGCCAGUGAUUGUUACAAUGCUCAAGGCAACUCGACCAGAUCGAACAGUCCCGAGCUCAGUGUGCCUCCUCCUUGCAGCAUCUCCAAAACCAAAAACAUGUUCGUUGCAGUUGGAUGCGACACAUAUGCGUUUUUUAUAGGUUACCGGGGUGAAGAAGAGUACACAACCGGGUGUAUGUCCCAAUGUGCCGAUCUUGGCAACGCUAUCGAUCAGCGGGAUACUUGCUCUGGCGUUGGAUGUUGCCAAACUAAAGUCCCCAGUGGGCUGCAAAAUGGGUCUGUGACCUUGGGAAGUUUUUACAAUUAUACGGAUGUGCGGGACUCCCACCGAUGCAGCUACGCGUUCCUUGUGCAAGAAAGCGAGUUCAACUUUAACAGCACGAGUUUUCGAGAACUAAACGUUACAACCCAGCUUCCGGCAAUUAUUGAUUGGGUAAUUGGGAAUGAGUCAUGUGAUAUUGCAGCUAAAAACGAGAGCACUUUUGCAUGCAAGGCAAAUAGCUCCUGCCAUAAUCGUUCUUCAGGCUACAUAUGCCAGUGCUGGUCAGGUUACGAAGGGAACCCAUACCUCCCAGAUGGUUGCCAAGGUAAAUAAAUCUAGACAGCAUUUGACCAUUUGAUUAUUAUCAUAAAAAAAUUUGCGUUCAUCAAAACAUAUUGUAUGUAUAUGUAUAUGUAUGUAUGUAGGUCUACUUUUUUUUAUUAUGGUUAAACAAAUAAAAUUCCAAUUUGCUUGACUUUUUUGCAUAUAUAAUGUAAUAGAAGCAGGAGUUAAAUCCCUUAAAUAGUGCUAGGAACCUCGAUCAAAAUAUUUAAAUAAACAAGGUUUUAAUAUAACAAUUAGGUUGACUAGAGAUCAGAAUCAAAAUGACCCUUAUCAUUAAAAUAACAUGUAAGCUUAGCUGACGAUGCCAAAGUAGCCACCAAUUAGCCACGGAUUAUCAAAUCUGAGGGUUCAUGAACUGUUUCCCUCAGCAUUUUUUUAGUAGCAAGUUGUUAACAAAAAGUCUCAAAAGUGGGAUUUAAUUUUUACCUGUUGUUCAUGGAUUUAAUUCAUUCUUUUUCUGUUCAGAUAUUGAUGAGUGCAAGGCUCCAAACCCCUGCAGUAUGGGAACCUGCAUAAAUACACCGGGAAAUUAUACUUGCAAAUGUCCGAAAGGGUACAAAAAUGACGAUCCGGAUAAAAUAAGAUGCAUCAAGGCCGACGGUCGAGCAAAGCUCAGUCUCCUGCUUAUUAUCUCACUAGGUAUGCAUAUGUUAGUUUUAUUUUACUUUUUCUUUAGGCGCGUGUUUUUGCAUAUACAAUGGAUAUUGGGUGAAGGGAAAAGUUGAACUCGGGUCUUGUGUGCGAACUUAGUUACAAAUCUCUUGCUUGGAUUGUUAGUUUAUUACUAGAAUCAGUGUCAAUUUCUCCAUGUUAUAGCAAUACCUCAUAACAAAUCGUCGGCAAACAAAAUCAGUUUUAAGUUUUUUGAAUUAAAAAGGCCAAAACACAUUUUCAGAGAGUCCAUUAGCCAGACAAAAUCAUAAUAGCCAACCGCAGACAAAUCCAGAAAAACAUAGAAACAAAUAGAAUCAUUUAAAUUUUGUAUGCUGUUAGUUUCUCAAGUAACCUAUACAUAUUCAUUCAAAUUAUGCAUGUAUUGGGGCGCUUUAAGCAGAAUGGUAGUGUAGUAUUCAAAAUUUAUUUUCAAAUGAUCACAAAUGAAUCUCCCACUAUUCUACUUAAAACACCAUUAUUCCACUCAAAACUUAGUGAAAAUUGCAUUGUUUUUAUAAAAACAUUAAAAAACAUAUGAACUCAUGCCCAACUUUGAUUAAUCCAUAAUUAAUAGCUGACUAUUUCAAUACUAAGAGUUGAUAAGAGAACAUUGGAAAACAUAUGAACAUGCCCAUCUGACAUUGCAGUUGAUUAAUCUCACAUAAAUCCACAUCAAAAGAACCCAGAAAUUUAAUGAAGAAUUUUCCAAAACCCACAAUUUAAACUAAAACCCACAAAUUUAAACGAAAAACUCUAUAAAAUCAUGAAAAAUUUAAUAAAAUCCAAGUAUAUUAAUCACAAAUUCGAUCAAACAAAUCUUCACAUCCAAUAAGUCUAGAAGGUACACUAAAAAAAAAAAUGUUCAACAAAAGAUUCAAUACGAAAAACAAAAAUUAUAUACCUUGAUCACAAAGGGCUUGCACACACAAAAACCCCAAUAUUCGAAGACCAACGUUUCCUGACAGCAAAAAUCAAACCAGAUCAGACAGCCACACGCAAAUCACCAAAAAAAUUUAAAUCAGGCACACUAAAAAAGCCGCAAAACUCACCAGAAAACGUUAGGUUAUGUGGGUUAAAAACGGAUUCCAAUCGAACUCAAAAAGGGCACGAAAAACUCACCAGGAAACCCUAGCUUUUUUGGGUAAAAAAGUUCCUUCAAAUCAACCUGAGAAACUGAAGAAGCAUUCUUGAGUUCAAUAAAAAUCGAAAUUUAAGCAAGCUUUCUGACCUGAAAACUUUGGAUUAGAUCAGCCCAGAACAAAUUCUAAACGGAUUAAAAAUGGGUAGAAGCUUCUAACCCCCUACUGAUUUUCAAGAAAACAACUUUGAUAACUAAUUCGCGAACAACAAAGCAAGAGGCUGAAUAAUUUGAACAACCAAAAAGAUGAAGCGGUACGGGUAGAGAAAACAAAUCGGAGACGGAAGGAAGGAACUCCAUGUAUGCGCGAGAGGAAAGUGAAAAGCUAAAAGAAAGGUCCAGAACAACUAAAGCCAAACCGUGCACCGAUGACGGACAGGUGGAAUAAAAGGGCAUAACCGUCAUAAAACGCUGACAGAAAAAAUUUGGAGGGUAUUUUCCCCACGGAAAUGGAUUCUCUCCUCGCUCCCACUUCCCAUACAUCCCCUGUUUGUGUGGUUACGGUUAAGUCACGUCAACAUUUUAUAUUAAUUUUUUAAUAGAGAUAAUAAGACAAAAAGCAAUAGUAAUAUAAAAUAUUGACCUGUUUUAACCGUAACUACACAAAUAGGAGAGGAUGGAAGUGUAUGGGAAGUGUGAGAGUAGAAAAUCCAUCUCCUUUUCGCCACUCCAUUGUUAGUGAACAGUAACCGAGAGUUUGGGUUUUAGGGAGGAGGAUUCUCUCUCUCUCUCUCUCCCCCCCCAUCUCUCUCCCAUUUCCUCCCCUCCUAUUUGAACUGUCACGGUUAAGCCACGUUAACAUCUUAUAUUGACUAAUCUCUUUCCUCUUCUCUCCCCUUCUAUUUGAACGGUCACGGUUAAGCCACACCAACAUCUUAUAUUGAUUUUUUUUAUAGAUAUAAUAAGACAAAAAACAAUGUGUGAGAAGAGGAGAGGGAAGAUGAUGAGAAUAGGAGGGGAGAGAAUCCUAUUCCGAAUUUUAGUAUAGAAAUAAUUUACAUAUGUCACAUCAUACAGUCCUAGUCUAAAAUUCUAAACUUGCUAAUUUUCCUUUGAACAAUUGCACUCAAAUUUUACCCACUUUUAGAACCAAAACUUUCAAACAUAUAUCAACAGUGCUCUUUGGAAGACAGGUUUUCAAAUCAAUAUUAUCAAGAAUGUAACAAUCGAAAUUGGUACGUACACUUUGUUAUUGACAUGAUAUUAAAACUGAUAUCGGCACAUUGUUAAUAACAUAUAUAUGAAGAGUCUGUCUUGCCCAAAGAAUGAUUAAUACUUACAUAUAUGUGGCUUAGAAAGAUCCAUGCAUAUACAGAAUGAUUAAAUAUUCUCAUUGUGUAGCAUGUCAUUUUUUGUUACAAAAUAUCGCUUUGCUCUAAAACAAGAAAAGUAUUCACCAGACGACAAAAACAAGAUUAAUACAUUGAUGAUUUGCUCUGUAUAAUUUCUUGUAAUUCAUGUGAUCAUCUUUGCAGGUGCCAGUGGAGGCUUCUUGCUUUUACUAAGUGGAUCUUGGAUAUAUUGGGGAAUGCAGAGAAGAAAGUUCCUCAAACUCAAAGAAAAAUACUUUAAAGAAAAUGGUGGCUUAUUGUUACAACAAAAAAUCGCUAGUCAAGGAGGCUCUGUGGAGACAACAAAAAUUUUCAAGGCAGAAGAACUUGAGAAGGCAACAAACAAUUACCAUGAAAGUGGAAUCCUUGGUGAAGGAGGCUAUGGAAUAGUUUACAAAGGAAUAUUAGCAGCAGAUAACAAUAAAGUGGUUGCCAUAAAAAAGUCUAAAAUUUGUGUCCCAACGCAGAAGGAGCAGUUUGUCAACGAGUUGCUUGUUCUCUCUCAAAUCAACCAUAGAAAUGUGGUGAGGUUAUUGGGUUGUUGUUUGGAGUUAGAAGUUCCUCUACUAGUUUACGAGUUUAUCGCUCACGGCACUCUCUUUGAGCACAUACAUGGCAAAAAGAGGAAAGGAUCAUCAUUUUCAUUGGAAUUACGACUCAAGAUAGCUGCUGAAACUGCUGGAGCACUAGCAUACUUACACUCCUCAGCUCUGAUGCAAAUCAUACAUCGAGAUGUGAAACUGACAAAUAUACUGUUAGAUGAAAAUUACACGGCAAAAGUGUCAGACUUUGGAGCUUCACGAUUGAUUCCUCUUGAUCAAGCCCAACUUGCAACUUUAGUGCAAGGAACAAUCGGAUACUUAGACCCUGAAUAUUUCCACACGAGUCAGCUAACAGAUAAGAGUGACGUCUAUAGCUUUGGAGUUGUCCUUAUGGAGCUACUAACAAGUAAACUGGCACUUGAUUCUCAUAGGCCUGAGGGAGAGAAAAACCUGGCAAGGUUCUUUCUUUGUUUAAUGGAAGAGGAUCGCCUGAAUGAAAUUCUCGAUGAUGACAUACUUAACGAGAGAAACAUCGAGACAUUAAAAACAGUGGCCAAUCUGGCAAAAAGAUGUGUAAGGUUAAAAGGGGAGGACAGGCCAACAAUGAAAGAAGUUGCCAUGGAGCUUGAAGGAAUGAGAAUUACAGAAAAGCAUCCAUGGGGAAAAGAUGAAAUUUGUUCAGAAGAGACUGAGUGCUUACUUGGGCCAGGUAACUCAGAUGCUUAUCCUGUGGAUGUUAGAGCUGGUUCUAGUACUAGUACAACUAUUGGGUAUGACAGCAUGCAGAUCCAGAUGUUAAUUCCAUAUGAUGAUGGAAGAUAAUUCACUACUUCAUAUAAUCAACAUUGCUCAUCAUUCUAGACAUAGUGAAAUAGUAUUAUUUUUCAUCACAUACUAUAAGUGUAGCCGAUGUCCUUCCUCUGUACCCUCGAGUUUGAAUUUUUCUUUUGCUACAAUUUAGAUUUAGUUGAAAGUAAAGUAUCGCUUGUAUAAAAUAAAAUAUUAAUUUUCAUCAUUUUGACAGUUUUUAUUUAGGAACCAGGAUCCUCUCCUGAGCAGUUCCCUAGGGAUCCUAGGGAUCCCACAAUCUUGUCCGUUCAUUUUAUAUCGUGCGGUCAGUUUUCGUUAGGUACAAUUCAUAUUUGAAUUUUAAAAUUUAAAUUUUAAAUAAUUUCUGAUCGCCUAGACCAAAAUGCUCCACCUGUUCAUUACAGCGAAAUCAUGAUCACGUACCUUGAAAUAAAAUUUGAAAUAGAAAUACAAGAGAAGCACACAACCUAAUCAAAUUGCGCUCUUUAACAUAAAACCCUGCUCAAGGAGAUGAGAAAACUAACAUAACCGUUGUCGGACUUGAAGGUUGGAAAAAUUGCUCCCACUUGAGCAGCAGGAGAUCAUCUUAUCUGGGUAGGAGAACAGAGCAAACCAGAUGCAUCUGAUCCAACCACUGAAAGAUCACAAACAGUACAGAGCUUCCCUUCCUGGUCCGGAACAAACCGAGAACUGCAGUAUGGGCAUGACACAUCCUUCUGUCCACGGUAAAUAGGCACAUAUGUUGCCCCACAAACCACAAAUGGGUUUCUGAAAUCAUAUCC
rnacentral:lncRNA from 1 species